AUAGGGUUCUUUCAGUAAUGUAUUUACAUCACAGGUCACAAUAACUCUUACCAAACUGCAUCACCAUUUGAUAUGAAAGUAUGUUUAGUGACAAAUCAAAUAGUAAUUAAUUGAUAAUUUUGAUAACUUAUCUAUAAACUUUUCAUCAAAAUUCAUAAACUUUCACUGCAAGUUAAUAUGCACUAUACUUUGACAUGGAGGGAGUAGUAAUUAGGCAAGACUAAAAAAUAAAGGACAAUAUGAUUAAAAUAGUUAACCUGCAUUCUCUCCAGAUUCUUGCAACUAAGCACAAAGUGCACAACACAGCAGGAGCAACUACAUUUCAUCGCCAUCACACACGAUCUCCGCAUGUGUCUGCAUGUACUAAUAAUGAUCGGCAGUCCUACAGCAAAACCUGAAAGAUCUAAUCUUCCUUAGGUUGCCUAGCUAGCUUGGAAGAAAGCACAAGCAUAACCUUAGAACACAAUUCACCAAAAUGUAGCUUGAACCGCUGCCGACCAUUAGGAGGCCAACAAGCCCAAGCAUGAAAACAACGAGGAGUCACCAUUGCGAGGAGUCACCGUCGAUGGCUCAGCUGGUGGGCGCCGAGAGCAUGCCGCCACCGCUCUUUGAGGCUAGCACCACCUCCCAACGGAUGGUUAGUGCAAAAGGUCCUUGUUGCAGUUCGUUGAUUGUUGUUUCGAUCACUUUGGUGUUUUUUUUCCUUAUUGUUCUUUAGCCUAGGUAUAUUUUCUUGUGUGUGCACCUUAAUGUUGAAAUGAUUCCUUGUGUGUGUGUCUUAAUGUUGGUUGUGUUUAUCCUAGUAAUGCAAAGGUCGGGGAUGUACUUGUUAGUUAUAUCUCCUUUAUGCUUCAUUUUGAGUCAACAAAAUCCAGUCUUUUCCCAAAAAAUGCUAGCAACCUAGAUGAAAACAUGGUUCAGAACUGAGUAUGGCCACAAUGACCGUGACCUUUACUAACUAGUCGCUGCUAGAGCAUGAGCUAAGAGACGACAACAUUCAUAGUGUAACUGUUGAGGUACAAUAGAUGAGCCUUGGUAGCCAUUGUCAUUCAUAUCGCCCUCUCACAAAUGUAAAUCUUACUAGGGGCAUGUUUGGUUUAUAGUCUAUGGUUUCCACACUUAAUCUUAGUCAUGUCACACUAUCAUUGACACACUUGUAAUUUGCCAACUUUUCUAGCUACAUGGUCCUUAUGUCAUGGGCUUUUUGCUACAUCUUGCCGCACUUUUAGUGACAAUUUUGUCCACCACCCUUUUUGUGGAAGUGAUAAUUUGCCUUAAGUUUUUUUAUAGUAAUAGGACUUUUUCUCAUAUGAUAGCCAUACCAUUUACAAGCAUAUAAGAAAUAGAGCCAGGGGUGGAAUCCUGAAAAGAAGAGGAUCUAGAUUUAAAGAAAUAUUUAGCUAGGUACUUUCAUCUCUUGUUUGCUUCUCGGAAGCAAUGGACAUUUGCAACUUCCAGAAAAUAAGAAGCCAGAGUAUUGCAUUCCAUAAAUAUCGCCACUUCCGAGGCAAAGUAAGCGUCCUGCUAGUUCACCGCCUCCACGGUGAAGGUACACCAAGAAAACCCAUUACGUGAUUACAUCCAAUAUUUGCAGCAAGAAAACCCAUUACGGAUAGCACUCAAUUCUGGAGAAUCAACAUUCUUGACAUGAGGCACAAACCAGGUCGCUGCUGUCAGAAAAUUAUCUCUGUCAUCGCGUGAACAGUUCCUGUGGCACCCGACGACAUUUCAGAUUGAAAUGAAGCAUCUACAUUUACCUUUACACAUCCCUGAUUAGGCCUUUUCGACAUAUGAUCGCGGUUCUGAACUAUUUGUUUAGGUGUUGCUGCGCUUACGAAGUUUGUGGCCAGCACUUUGAUAGAGAUAGCAACACGAUCAUGAGAUUGGAUUGCUUCGUCUUCCAUGAACCGGCGCUGUUGCCACAACAUGUGCCACGCUGCUACUACUAUCAAUUCCGCCAUUGGCAGCUCCCCAACGCUCUUGGUUGAGUUCUCUCUAGAAUCUCUAUUGUAACAGAUCCCGAGCGAUCUUCCGAUAUAGCUUUCUGGAUAACAUCUUCAGAUCCAGUUCAGCCCAAAAUGCCGACGCACAAGGACACAUGAAUAGGCAGUAUUGUAUGUCUUCUAGCCCACUUCUGCAGUCCAGACAUGUACCCGUGACUGGAAUCUGGCGCCUAGCAAGCACACCGUAACACGGCAAGACUCCUCUCAGGAUCUUGCAUGUAAAUUGUUUUAUUUUUUCAGGGCCUCGCAGGCGUCAAGUGUCCAUCCAGAUUCCAUUUACCUGAAUACUACCUUCACCAUUAGGAUAUACCAAUCAUGCGGCAUAUUGAUGAUCAAGCUCAACAUUAUAUGAAGAUCGCACCGAGAGUGUACCAUACCUUAUGUUGUUCCAUGCUACAAAAUCCUCUACACAUCCACGCGAAGAGGGAUUUGUAGGAUUCUAGCAACAUCAUCUAGGUUUAACAGACCAUAAAAGUUAUUCAUCCCAUUGACCAGAGUAGGGGUCAACCAAGUCUUCUACCUUUGACAAUAAAGUUUUCCUCCGUGGAACGAUUAAUUACUUUCCGAAACACUGGAGUGUAUCCAAGGAUCUUGCCAAAUAAUCAUCUUUGAACCAGUCCCAACUCUCCAAAUGCAUCCCCGCUUAAAGGUUUGGAUCCCUGAGACAAUACUUUGCCAAGUAAUGUACAGCCCUUCCUGGACCCGCAUUCAGUAUGCCUCCAUUAGGAUAAUUCUUUGCACUUAAGACAUACGCACACAAAGAAUCAGGGUUUUGAAUUAGACGUCAACUCUGCUUUGCUAACAUAGCGAGAUUAAAGCUUCUAGAUCUCUAAGACCCAUGCUCCCUCUCUUCUUCGGGAUACACAUUUUCCACCAUGCAUAUCAAUGCAUCUUCUUCUCUUCAGUGUCUCCCCACCAAAAACUCGACAUAACGUCAGUAAUUAAUUUACAAAUUUCUUUUGGCAAUUUAAACACUCACAUGACAUACGAAGGAAUUGCUUCAGCUACAGACUUAAACAAAAUCUCCUUACCUUGCAUGGAUAGUACCUUUUGUUUCCAUCCUUUCAGGCGUUGCACAAACUCUAUCAACGAGAUGUUGAAAAAUUGUUUCAAAAUUAGUCACCAACCAAACAUGCCCUGGAUGGCUGGAUCAUUUACUACUCAUGUGUACUUCUGUUUGUUUCCGUAGACUUAUUAAUCAACUACGGUGCGUUACAACAAGAACGAUUGAAGCCUCUGCAUGGCUAUGCUCAUUUGCAGCGCCGGUUAGCAGAUUGAUGUGGCCAAUGAUUUUGCGGUCUGAUUACCGGCAAAAGAUGCUAAGCUCUAACAUGUUCAUGUUAGUACUUUAAUCAAGUCGAGCCCUAGAAGACUAAGCGUUUUCUCUUUUUGAGUUGCCUAGAAGAAAGACUAAGUGGAUGGGAGAGACGGCACGAUAUGUUUAACACCUGAAGCUUCGUUCUGUACCCUUUCUUCAUGAUGAUGAAGGGGCAUGGUGUAAUGCCUGUCACUUGCAUCCUUAUUAUACAAAUGUUCUUAUGAAUUACGCUUAUUAUGAAAAUUUGCACAGCAAGCUUCUGUAGUCCAACGGUUAGGAUAAUUGCCUUCCAAGCAAUAGACCCGGGUUCGACUCCCGGCAGACGCAUUUUUUCUUUGUCAUUUUUUUUGCAUGCAUCUCUUCUUCCUCCAUCGAAGACGUACUUUGUACCUGUUCGAAGACGUACUUUGUACCUGUUCGCCUACACAUGUGCCGAUGUGCGCCAGACGAGCAAGUACGAAGCCACCUGAAAGAUCACUAGUUAAGCAUCUACAACUUCGAACCUGGCAGACAUGGUCUGCGCCUUCCUCCCCUGCCUGUGGCUGCACCUUGUAGUGAAGACCGGAGAGUUGAUCUAUCGGUCAGACGGCCCAUACGUCUCUUCUCUCUUGCUCUUCUUCUCAACGUUCCCCAUUUCGCUUGUGCUUCGUCUGGAUUGUUGAGUAUAUUGAUUAUUAAGAAAGACGAGAUAGAUUAGGAUUUGUUCUGGCUUGUGUUGUACUUCAACUUGAUCAUUAUACUCCCAUAUAUAUGCCCAUGAGGCUUAAGCAAUACAACGAACGAUUUCACCAAUCCUCUCUCUCCUUUCUAACAUGGAUGUUUAUGGUGUGCAUUAUGUGAUCAAAAAAAUAUACCAGAAAUAUAGUUAUGGAUCUAAUGCAAUAUAUUAAUAAAAAAUACGGUAAACGUUUUUCUUCUUCUGAUUUUUAUCAUAGAACAAGGUAAAAGGAAAAUGGCGAGGCUUGCAUGGGAUAAGGUGAUAGUUUCAAAGUCCAUGAGUGGUAUAGGCUUUAGGAGCAUGAGGGAUUUCAAUCAGGCACUUCUUGCCAAACAAGCAUGAAUAUUAAUUGAGCACCAUGAGAUAUUGGUGUUGGUGGCUGACUUUAAAAGCAAAAUAUUACCUGCCCAGAUGGAGGCCAAUAUCAUGGAUGGCUUUAGCUGGCGCUGCGGUGGGAUCCAUACUCAUUUGCUUCGACACUAUGGAGAUGAAGGUCAGCAUCAUGGAUGUAUGUGGCCGCUCGUUGCAACCUCGCUGACUAUAUGAUCAAUGGAACCUUAGAGAAUGUCAACUAGCCGCAUUGUUUUUUUUCGACUGGUUUAUCGCAACUGCUCUUUAAUAUGUAGCGAAGCAUAGACUAUCGGCGUGUGAUUUUUUCAUUACAUUGCGAUGGGCAAUUUCCCUAGUCUCUACUCUCUAUCUCUACUACUUAAAAAGACUGUAAGAUUUCAUGUUUCACUUUUCUUCUCGCCACCCCUUGGUCCAACAUUCACUGUAUGAAAAUCAAUCAUCUUCAUUACUUACCUUCUAAAUCAAUUUCAGUUUAUUUUAAUUAUCAAACUUCUCAUCAAAAUAUAAUGUAAAUCACGGGCAUGAUUUGAUAAACAUUUAUCUACACAAACACAUUAAUAUGAGCAGGUAAAUCAUAAGCUAACGCAUUGAAAUAUUUAUAUCCCAUUGGAACGCACGUACAUUGUUCUAUAUAUCUGUAUAUACUACUUAAAAGGAACGUAAAGUUGCCAUUUCACAUUUCUUCCCACCAUCUCUUCAUCCAACCUUCUUCGUAUGAUAAUAAAUCAGCUUAAUUUACUUACCUCGUUUGAUAAACAUUUAUCUACACAUCCCAUUAAUAUGGGCAGGUAAAUCACAAGCUAAAACACUAAAUAUUCCAUUGCAACGCACCUGCAUUGUUCUAUGUAUAUACUUAAAAGGAAUCCCUUGGUCCAACCUCCCACGUAAGCUACCUUCACCUUCCAUCAGUUUUUCAUCCCUCCUGAUAGUCUUUGUUAAUGGUUUUUAAUGUGACCAGUCAAAUCAGAUUAACAUAUGGUAACGUAAUAAUUCACGAAAAGGAAUAAAUCAUGUUCAAUAAUUAUUUGGUAACACAAUUAAUUUAAAUUCAUGGUAAGGAAUCAAUCAUGAUCAGUAAUUAUUUGGUAACAUAAUAAGUUCAACCAAAUAAAUCAAUCACAAUCGGUCAUCAUUUCUGUCUCCAUUGCAAUGCACGGGAAAUUUCCUAGUCUGGUAAAAGAAAAGAAUGAACGAUACAUUAGGCAGCCAGCAGCACGGCUUGCAGGCAGAUGGUGGGUUAGAGGCUAAAACGUGACAACACAGCCCACCGGAUCCAGGCCGCAUGAGCGCGCACACACAUGCAUUGCACGGGCUCCGGGAACGCAGCAACGCAGCGACAUCUCUGGGCUGCUGCUGGCCAGGGGAAGGGUAAACCAUCAUUGUGUUGGUAAAAUUCUUGAUCAGUGAAAUUAAGCAAAAUUUAAUUAAAAAUCUGAGCAGUUACUAUUUAAAGUUCAAUCUAAAUAUGUUUUAUUCGUAUUGAAAUUGGUGAUAUUCGGCUUAGCGUCAUAUAAAAAUAUAGUGUGUAUAGAUUACAUUGAUAUUGUAUCGUACAUUAAUUUUGAUACUUUAUUCAAGUUUGCAUGGUACUUAAGUUUUCUCCGUCCUGCGCUAAGAACCACAGAUGCAAUGAAUCAUAUGAACCUAGUCAAACCGUGUUAUGAAAAGGUAGAUGCAGUAGCCCAGAGCAAACAUGAGAGUACCACCUAUAGUUGUUGCAAAGUUGAAGAGAGGAAUGAAUAGAGACAAAGCAGGUUAAUUACCAUGUUGUUGAUCUGGCCUUUGGAUGGGAGCCAAAUAUAAUGGGGUAACACUUGUGCCACCCCACCCAACGUGUGUGUGAGCACAGUUUUGUACAGCGAAUUGUAUUGCUGCUGAGAAGCAUGCGCCGAAGUCUGGGAUCUCCACAAAAUAUAGUACUCCCUCACAGUGGCGGAGCUACACAAUCAAAACAGGACGUGUCGAUACAAAGGAAGGCCUACUAUUUUGACCGAUCGUGGUAGUCCAGUUGAUCGUUCAGCGGGUGACUUUUAAAAUAAUAAGAAAAAUAAAAAAAUUGCAAACUAUCAAAAAUUUGGUGAAUUCAAAAAUAGUCACCGAUUUUGAAGAAAAAAUACAAAUUGAAAAAAGUCCACUGAUUUUUUAAAAAAAAUCGAUGAAUUUACAAAUAAACAAAAAUUGCAAAAAACAACAUCAAGUUUGAAAAACUUCGUCAAUUUUUAAAAAAAAUAACGAUUUUUGAAAAAAAGAGUACAUACAAUUUGAAAAAAGUUCAUCAGUUUGGAAAAAAAAGUCCACCGAUUUUCAGAAAAAACAUUGACUUUGACAAAAAGUUGAUCACAUUUGAAGAAAGUUCAUCAACUUGGAAAAACAUUCAUCAAUUUGGACACAUUUCACGCAUUUAGAAAAAGUGUGCAAAAAUUCAAAAAAAAUGUUAAUUCAAAAAAUUCAGUGCUUUUGAAAAACAAUCAUGAAUACGAAAAAAAGUGCAACAAAAUUUUUAAAAAUAUUGAAUUUGAAAAGCUUGAUCGAAUUUGUAAAAUGUCGUCGAUUUGGAAAAUAAAUCAUCAAUUUUUUUAAAAACUCCGAUUUUGAAAAAAAUUCAUUGUAUUUAAAAAAAGUUCAUCAAAUUUGAAAAAACCAUCGAUUUAUGUAAGAAAAAAUCAUUGAUUUUUAGCAAAAGUUCAUCAAUCUGAAAAAAACUGUCAUCGAUUUGAAAAAUGUUCACGCAUUUAAGAAACGAGUAAUAAAAAAACAUUGAAAACCAGGUGGACAACACUGAAGAAGAAAAAAAGCGAAUAGAGAAAGAAAUGGGCUAGCCCGCUAAAAGAGCUAGAGUUCAGGGGAUGGGUCUUAAGUGCCGCCUUAAGCAUUCUCGCUAGGCGUUGGUCAGUCCUCAGCGAAACCGGUUGAGCGACCAGAACGAUAUUAAUGGCAUAGCUAGGCACGAACGAUGGAUUCUACUUAAAAAAAAGGCAGCCAUGCAGCAGCGCGCCUGGUAGGCAGACUGUGGGUCAUAGACUAAAAUGUGACUAAACGUCGCGCGGGAUCAAGACCGCAUUGUGCACAAGCAUGCAUUGCACGGUGCGCUGGAUGCGCAGCAGCGCGGCGACGUUUCUGGGCUGGCGGUGGCCAGAGGAAGGGUAAAUCACCAAUGUGUGGGUAGAAUUCUUGAUCAGUAAAGUUAAGCAAGAUUUAAUUAAAAAGCUAAGCAAUUACUAUUAAAACUUCAAAUCUAAAUAUGUUUACAUUGCUUUAGAAAUUGGUGAUUCGGCUUGGCAUUCUAUAGAAAUAUUGUGUGUUGUAUAGAUUACUUCGAUAUUGUACAGUACAUUUAUUUUGGUAAUUUAUUUUAGUUUGGUUCACCUUAAUUUUUCUCUAUCUAAUAAGAACCACGUGCCCCUCACAGAUGCAAUAAAUCAUAUGUAGCCAUUCUUUAUUAAAACUUUAGUAUGUCAAAAGGAUAAAGGGAAGUGUAAACAACUACAUGUGGACCUAGGCAAACCGUGUUAUAAAAGGUAUAUGCAGGAGUACGGAGCAAACAUGAGAGUACCACCCACAGUUGUUACAUAGUUGAAGAGAGGAAGGAGUAGAGACAAAGCAGGUUGAUUAUCAUGAUUCCGAUCUGGCCUUUGGACGGAACCCAAAUAGCUUGGGAUUGAGAGACGUGGGGAACUUGUUGCGUGCAUCUUUGUGCGAAGAUGCUUUGCCUUAGCCGUUGUUGUUCCGUGCUAGGCUGAGUGUAGCCUCUAGUUAGAUAUUCAAUUAGGGGACACUUGUGCCACCACACCCAAUAUUUCCAUGAUGCACAAUUUUGUACAACGAAGGAUAUUGCUCACAGAGAAGUGUGUAUCCAAGGCUGGGAUCCGAAGCUCAAUAAAAAGCAUGUGAUCUUCCCAAAAUACUUCCAUCGUUUUUAUUUACUCCGCAGAAUAGUUUUGGCCCAAGUCAAAGUUUAUAAAGUUUGAUCAAAUUUAUCGAAAACAAUCUAAAUUUUCACAAUAAAAAAGAAAUAUCAUAUGAAAAUAUAUUGAAUGAUUGUUUUACGAAUAAAAAUAUAUUCAAUGAUGAUUCUAAAAUAAUUUGGUAUUGUGGAUGUUAAUUAUAUUUUUUUGUAUAAACUUGGUAAAAGAUAGAAAGUUUGAAGCUAAUAUGUGAGGUAAAUAAAAACAGGAGUACAACUACUAGCUAGUGUUGCAGAUGAGUAGGAAGGACCCCUAGUAAAUAGGAAAACCCUUCUAGUGUUUGUAGUAUGUAUGUUUAACCAUCAGCUAUGAUAUGGUUAGUUCAGUGAUGUAUUUACUUGGCAGCAACUCAUACCAAAGACCAUCCUCGCUUAAUAUGAAGGUACGUUUCCUGAUGAACCUAAUGUUAUUGAAUCGAUAUUGCAGUUAUUUAUAUUUUUCUACAAACUUUAUCAAAAUUAAUUAAGUUUGACUGAAGACUAAUCUACACUAAAUUUUGACAUGGAGAGAGUAAUAAUUAGGCAAUUCUGACAAAUAAAAAACAAAUGAUUGAAAAGCUCCACUACAUUUUCUCCAGAUUCUUGCAACCAAACACAGCACAGCGGGAGUAACCGCAUUUCAUCAUCAUCGCGCACAACCUCUUCAUGUUUCUGCAUGUACUAAUAAAGCUCGGCAAUCCUACACCAAGAUUAUCAGACUCAUCUAUCAUACCAUGACAGUCUUACGUAGGUUGCCUGCCUGGUAGAAGGCACGAGCAUAAGCUUAGGACACAGCCCGCCAAAAAAAUCAGCUCCUGAACCUACGGGGUGAAACGCACUGUUGUCUUGUCAAGCAUUAGGCGGCGAACAAGCCAAAGCAUCAAAAUACCGAGGAGUCACCAUUGCUAGGAUGGCUCAGCUGGUGAGCGCCGAGAGCAUGCUGCUGCUGCUCUUCGAGGCCAGCACCACCUCCCUGCUAGGCCCUUUCAGGGGAACAAGAGAGGUGGCAUUGGCAGCCACAGCAGGGCCAGUGAGGUCGCUCCGGUCCAUCACCUUCAGAAGGUCCUCGUUGCUGAUAUCUGUUUGGAUCAUCCUGUCUUCCUUGCUUUACUCAUCCCUCAGCAGCGCUAGCAGCUCCGCCUCCUGCAUUUCUCGACAAAACGAAGGAAUACAUCAGCAAUCAUGCAAGGGUUUGCUGAUCACUGAAGAAACAAAUCUACACGGCAGACUGGACACAAUCUUCUAUGUUCCGGACAGAAAUUUUUACAUCCAAAGCGUUAGGCUUGGCGGCAUCUUGUAAUCUUGUUGAAACUGUCCCUUCCCGAUCACCACAUGCUCUAGCUUCAGCUUUCCAAAAGCUCUCUUAAUAAUCCGUCCCUGCGAGAAUGGGGAGAUGAGCCCGAAUGCCACAAAAAUUAGCCAAGCAAGAGUGUGGAGAUCAAAAUUCGAUCUUGCCAACGGAUAAACAUGAACCAGUUUUGUUUGCCAAUGCGGUGGCAUCGAUCCGUAGCUGUAAAUACAUCCGAGGAUUCUCCAGAACAAAUAAAAAGUGGGAACUCCUAUGUGGCACCUUAAAAGCAUCUCCAAUACAUCAUGUAGAUGUAAAAAUAACCGAAACAUACAUCACCAAGGCCUAAAAACGUCCCCCAACAGAUAAUGUAGAUGCAAACUUUAUACAUCUAUUGUAAAAUGCAUCACCAAGCGAUCCUGUUGAGUAUAUUGGUUAUUAGGAAAGAUGAGUUAGACUAAGAUUUGUUUCUACCUUGUCUUGUACUUCUAUAUAUAUGCCCAUGAGGCUCAAGCAAUACAAUCAAUGAUUUUGUCGGGCCGUAGUGAACGUGACACGUGGUCCACGCCGCUAUCCCGAGACCGUUCCUGCGGUUGCACCGACCCAAGUUUCGCCGCUCCACCGCCCCUUCAGGCCGUAGCCCGCGGUCCCCACUGCCGCCCCGAGGUCUUCCCGCCGUCGCCCCGACCUACCCGCCGUCAUUAUGUCGCCCCUUCGGGUCGUAACGUCGCGGCCCGCGGUCCUCCGCCGUCCCCGCGCGUCAACUUCCCAUGGCAUGCGUUGCGCCGCCUUCUUUGGCGCGGGAACGCCACUGUCCGCGCCGAUCUUCGUCACGCUGUCAGGAUGCUUCGCCCAUUUCGAGCACUGCCGCCGUGCUCCUAACCUAUCCGCCGCCGCCGUCAGGCCGCUGCCGCCGCUAUCCCCGUAGCUGCCGCCGCCGCCCGUCCACCUCCUUCGUAUUCGUCCAGCACCAGCCCGUCGCCAGCGUCGCCGUCAUCUACCCCGACCACUUCGUCUACUCCGACAAAAGCGGGCAACAUCGGCCCCGCACUGAUUGGCGCCGCAACCGUCGUCGAGUUCUUCUCUGCUAGCCCCUCCGACUUCUUCGACAUGGCGUAUAGCCCGUGCAGGUCCCUCGUCUACACAUGCCCGGUGCUAGCAACAUCGAUGCGUGCCUUCGUCCAUGACGUGUCCCCGGGCCUGGCAAGCCUGGUGCGACGUUCGUCAACUUCGUCUUCGUCCAUCUACGCAUGCCCGGUGCUGGCAACACCGGUGCGUGCCUUCGUCCACGAUGUGUCCCCGGGCUUGGCAAACCCACCGCGACGCGUCGCCAGCAACAUCUUUUUCCCGGCGCACCACUACUUCGACACCACUGCGCCCAUGCUAACUCGGCGCCCCCUUGCGCCCGCGGCUCCACGGCGACUUCCUCGACACCGGCAACCCCGAAUCGACAUCAACCACGACAUUCUUCGCACGGCUACCUCGACCUCGGCUCCACCCACCCACGCUCUUGGCUACAUCGACAACGACACAAAGGGCUAUCGCCUUGCUUGAGCAACCUCGUCGGCUUCCACUCCAACCAAGACUCCACGACAGUUCCAACUGUGGAGGGUGUCCGUCGGCUUGCCUUCAGAUUCUUCUCCAGUCUCACCGUCUGCGUCGCUACGUUGUGACUGCGGGGGAUGUUGAGUAUAUUGGUUAUUAGGAAAGAUGAGUUAGACUAGGAUUUGUUCCUACCUUGUCUUGUACUCCAAGUAGAUCAUUGUACUCCUAUAUAUGCCCAUCAGGCUCAAGCAAUACAAUCAACGAUUCUACCAAAUCUCUCUCUCCCUUCUAACACAAAUAUACAUCACUUGGGCGUAGAUAUACAUCACCAAAUAUAAAACGCAAUCGCGCCGCCGAAGCCCAACUGCCAUCCGGAUGGUUGCCGCUGCCCCGCGACUACUCGCACUAGUAGAAAACAGGGCUUUAGUUCAGGCCAGGCCAGCCCAUUACUCCCGGUACAGCCCAGAACCGGGACCCAUGGGGUAUAGGUCCCGGUUCGUGAGGCCAGGGGGCCGGCCGGGCCAUCGUGGGGCAUUGGUCCCAGUUCAUCUGGAACCUUUGGUCCCGGUUCGAGGCUCGAACCAGGAUAAAUGUGGCUCGCUCCUGGCCCACCACCAUUGGUCCUGGUUGGUGGCUUGAACCGGGACCAAAGGGUGUCCUUUAAUCCCGGUUCCAGCCACGAACCGGGACCAAUGAUAUGCCUAUAUAUACGCCUUGCUUGCGAGCAGAGCAGUGGAGUGCUCUGUUUUUUUGGAAGAGGUGUGUGAGAGAUGUGUUAUGUCUCACCUCCUAUGCACAUGAGGUGUUCGAUAAAAUGCCCGAGCCACACUUAAGUUUUCUCCUGUCGAAGCUCCUUGUCCAAACUCCAUUUUCCUCGAGACUUGUCUAGGUUUGGGUCCGUCCUGUUCCGUCCCCGUCCUCACCGCCGUUGAUAUAUAAUGCAGAAUCAGAAAGCAUGAAAGUGUCAAAUUUGGCUGAAGUUUGACUUAUGAGCAAGUAUUACAUGCAUCGAUGAAUUCAAACCAUAAAUAAAGAAUACCAAUGUAUUCCUCGUAGCUAAGUUGGUAUCUACUGGGAACGACUUUUUUUGAGACUGAUGAAUUGGGGAGUCAAAGCUAAUAACCUAAAAAAAAUGUGUGUGUGUGUGUGUGUCGGUGGUGNNNNNNNNNNNNNNNNNNNNNNNNNNNNNNNNNNNNNNNNNNNNNNNNNNNNNNNNNNNNNNNNNNNNNNNNNNNNNNNNNNNNNNNNNNNNNNNNNNNNNNNNNNNNNNNNNNNNNNNNNNNNNNNNNNNNNNNNNNNNNNNNNNNNNNNNNNNNNNNNNNNNNNNNNNNNNNNNNNNNNNNNNNNNNNNNNNNNNNNNNNNNNNNNNNNNNNNNNNNNNNNNNNNNNNNNNNNNNNNNNNNNNNNNNNNNNNNUCAUAGUUCCAAGCAUAUAUAGUACUGCUAAGAUAUUUUCUUAUUAGUUCUUUAUAGAAUUAACCCACUGAUGUAAUAAAAUGGUAGGUGCAGUUCUGUCUUACAACAAUCUCUCUAAGGUUAGUAGUAAACCAAAUUUCUCCAUAAAGUAGCACAUAGUCCGUGAGAAAAGAAGUAAUUCUAUUUCAUAUAACUAACUGAACAAAUAUACAGUACAGUUCCGUAAAGUAGCACACAUUACAUAAUGUAAUUCAUAGCAGUACAUGGACCUUCGACGACGCCGUUCAAGGAAAUCUGCAUGUCACCCACACAACGCCGAUUGUUAGGCCGGCCAAAUCAGGUCUCCUCUUCCCAGUCGCGCGCGAUUAAUUAGUUAUCUCAGAAAGGGGCGGACUGAGCAACACUGAGGCUGGAGAAAAAGGUGGAUGCAAGACAUGGCCGUGGGCUAAGUGCCUUUAGGCUGGAACGUUUCCGAGGAGCCGUCAGCGUCGGCUGUUUGGUGGCGGUUCUUGCAACCCCUACCAGGAAAACUGGUAGCAACAAAAAAAAAUUGACCCGAACACCUGAUUUCAAUUCUCAAAUUAGACACUUAGGUUUAAACUUGCCCAGGCUUCACAAAAUUCCUGGCUCCGCCCCUCGGCCUAGCUACCUGGUGUUGUAGUGCAUGUGGGCGGUGUUAUUUGGGCCACUUGUUGGAUUGGACCAAAGCCUUCUGUCAGCGAAACUAGUCGAGCGACCAAAAUGAUAUCAAUGACAUAGGCACAAACGAUGCAUUCUAUAUACUAAAAAAAAGGCACAACUAAUAGAUUAGCCAGGCAGCAACAUGGCCGGUAGGAAGACAAUGGGUUAGAGGCUAAAAUGUGAAGACACAGCGCGUGGGAUUAAGACCGCAUGGCGCACACGCGCAUGAAUCCCGCGGGCGCUGGUAGCGCAGCAGCGCGGCGACGUUUCUGGGUUGUCGGUAGACAGGGAAAGGGUAAAUCAUCAUUGUGUGGGUAGAAUUCCUGAUCAGUUAAUUUAGGCAAAAUAUUAAAAAGCUGAGUAAUUACUAUUAAAAGUUCAAUAUAAAUAUGUUUUCAUAUUCCUAUAGAAAGUAGUGAUUCGGCUCAGCAUCAUAUUGAAAUGAGAAAAAUAUGUUUUUGGUCCCUCAAGUUUACAAAAAGUCGACAUCUAGUCCUAUUUCUUUUUUUUUUUGAUCGAUAUUUAGUGCCUCGUGUCCCAAAACCUGUCCAAAACCAGAAAUGUGCGGAAAACCGCUGACGUGCCUUCCUCCUCCCCCCGAAGCACCUUCAGCGUGCUCUUUCUCACAAUCCAGCAGCGUAAUCAACUUCUCACUCGUUGCCAUCUAGCCGUCGUGACGCCCACAACCACCCCGUGGUGCUCCGGCCGCCAGAGCCCGCGCAGCUUCCGCACCGUCGGCCAUGCAGCUGCUCGCACAUGCCAUCACUCAGGACUUCAGGAGGUGCUCGUAAACUAGCAGACUUGCCACAUCGUCCUCGCUCGUCACACUUGCCCGUCUUCAGGAGGUGCUGGAUGGAGCACGGCAUGCCCAUCUCGACGUCAAACUUGUGGCAUGGUCCAGGGUGGCUGGUGGAGCUCGCCCAAGGCGCGACGGACGCGUCCCUGGCGCACUGCGGGUGGGGCUCGACCGUGAAGAGCUGCGUGUUCGGGCACCCGCUGUGAUGCUCCCGUUCGUCACGACGAGUCCCUCGGCGUGCGCGUCAUGGCGGAGAGGGGGGGCCAACGUGGAGGUGGCUGUUAGACUGUAUAUAUAUACGUAGCCUCUGUGUAAAUAUUGUAAUAUUGUAUUGUACCUCUUGAUACCUCUAUAUAAUGAGAUAACCACACCCCUUUUAGGGUGUCGAGCCAGUUUCUCAAAUCCUAUGUUUUACAUGGUAUCAGUUUAGGUUACGAUGUCUUUCGCUGCACCACCCGCCGCCGCCGCCACGCCGAUCUCGACUGCCGCCGCGCCGGCCCUCGCCCCGAUGUCACCCUUCCUGGCCUCUCGGCCCCUCGCGGCGACGUAUGGGGCCUUGCCGCCGCCGCCCGCUUCCCCGCAUGCAUCGGGCGCUCCAGACGAUCUGAUCGCCACGCCCGAGCCCGCGGCGCUGCGGGCCUAUGGCGGCCCUCCUCCGCCGAACCCGAACCCUGGCGUUGGUCCUCCGUCGUACGGCGCUCCGGCGCCCUCCUAUGGUGCGCCCCCGCCGCCGUCGUCCUUGUGGCCGGUGCCGGCUUAUGCUGUGCCGCCGCCGUCGCAACCCUACACGGCGGCGCCGCCGCAGCACCACCACUACCCGGCGUCGCCACCGCAGGCCUCGCCGUAUGGCGCCCCUGCAGCGCCCGGCCACGACGCUUUGGCUACCGUUCCUCCCGGCUCCUACUCCUCGCCUGGCGCCUACGGUUCCUACUCGGCGAUGAUUCCUCAUCCAGAGGCGGCUCCGUCCAUGGAUCCCUAUGCACCACUGCAUGCGUACACUGCUUAAGCCGCGGCGCUUUCACCGUUUUAUUUCUUGCACCUGCUGCCGGUGAAGCUCGCCCCGGACAAAUACCUAUCGUGGCGUGCUCAGGUCUUGCCUCUACUCCGCAGCCGCUACUUGGAGGGCUAUGUCGACGGAUCCAUCCCGUGCCCUCCCCCACAACAUCCGGCGUAUCACACGUGGGUGGCGCAGGAUCAGGCCAUCCUCUCCACCAUCCAGUCUUCGCUCACGCCGAGCGUUUCGUCGAUGGUCAUCUUCGCCGCGACAUGCAGGGAGGCGUGGGCGGCACUCCACACUAGUUUCGCCUCCCAGUCUCAGGCGCGUGCGCAUCCUAUACGCACCGAGCUGGGCGAGACCAAGCUUGGAGAUCUCAGCAUCACGGAGUACUUCAACAAGAUGACGAGCCUAGCCGACACUUUGGCCUCUGUUGGUCAGCCGCUUCAGGACGAGGACUUCACCACCUUUCUGCUUAACGGGCACGAUGAAGACUAUGACAAUCUCAUUGAGAACGUCCAUGGUCGUGAGGAUCCGCUCCCGCGUCGUGAGCUCUAUGCGCGUCUCCUUGGCCAUGAGCAGCGCAUCAAGGCGCGUCGUGUUUCCCCCAGCUUCGUCUCCGCCAACGCUGCUACUCGCGGCAAACCUCGGAAGUUGGCUCCAUCAGGUGGCAAACCGGCGCCUUCCUUGCAGCAGGCCUCGCGGGGCAACGCGCCGACUUUCACUGGCGGGAGUCGCCCAGUUGCUUGUUUUUCUAGUUGCGGUGCUCCUCGGGCCUGUCAGCUUUGUAGGAUAGACCGUCAUCUCGCCGCACGCUGUCACGGAUGCUACAAGCAAGACUUCCUUGGCCUUGGCAACAAUGGCAAAGGGAAUGAUAAGCAGGCCGUAGCUGCUGUGACGGGUCAUGAGCACGAACGCACUCCGUCCUACUCUAUUGAUCCUACAUGGUACAUGGACACGGGAGCUACGAGCCACCUGACCAACGACAUGGGCAAGCUCUCCACUCAGGAGCCAUAUCGCGGCCAUGAUCAGGUGCACACCGCCAAUGGAGCGGGUAUGCGCAUCUCCCAUGUUGGUCAGGCAUCACUUCUUGCACACAAUUCACGAAAACUGCAACUUUCUAAUGUUCUUCGUAUUCCUACCGCUUCGCGUAGUUUGUUGUCUAUUCCACAACUUACUCGUGAUAAUAAUGUCCUUGCUGAGUUUCACCCUUUUCGUUUCUUUAUCAAGGAUCGGGACACGAGGGUCGUUCUGCUUAGCGGUCGUCUUCGUCGUGGCUUGUAUGCACUUGAUGCGCCGACCGCACCUCCUAUGCAGUUUUCUCCUCAGGCGUUCAGCGGUGUUCAUGUGUCAUCUACACAUUGGCAUGCGCGUCUGGGUCAUCCUGCUGCUCCUAUAGUUCAGUUCAUCUCGGUUCGGCGCGGCGAGGCGAGCGGAGGAGGAGGAGUGCGCGAGGGCUUCUUUUCUUUUCAAGCUCCAAUAGCAUGAGGGAGAGAAUCCCUUAUAAACCACUCCAACUCUCCUUCCACUAGCGAUAUAGGACUAAACUUCCCACCACCUUGUCAUGCCACCUACAUGGGCCCUUAGAGAUUAAAUCUGAAAUUGUCAUAUGGGCUCUAGGCCCAUCUCAUAUUUCAACACAUGAAGGACUAGACGUCGACUUCUUGUAAACUUGAGGGACCAAAAACAUACUUUUCUCUAUAGAAAUAUAGUGUGAAUAGAUUACUUUAAAGUUAUAUCAUACUUUUGUUUUUAUACUUUAUUUAACUUCGCCCUACAUUAACUUUUCUAUGUCCUCCGCCCCUGAUAAGUACCACAUGCUCCCUCAGAGAUGCAAUAAAUCAUAUGUAGCCGUUAUUGUAGAACAUUAUUAUAGUGCCAAAAUGAUAAAAGAAAGUGUAAAGAGCCUACAUGUGGACCUAGCCAAACCAUGUUAUAAAAGGUAGAUGCGGUAGCAUAGAACAAACAUGAGAGUACCACCUAUAGUUGCUGGCUUGCUGCAAAGUUGACGAGAUGAACGAAUAGAGAUAAAGCAGGUCAAUUACCAUGUUACUGAUCUGGCCUUUGGAUGGGAGCCAAACAGCAUCCCGUGGGACUGAGAGACGCGGGGAAUUUGUUGUGUGCUUCCUAGUGCAGUCCUUCUUCUCCUUAGCCAUUGUUGUUCUAUGCUAGGCUAAGUGUAGCCUUUGUUUAGAUGUUCAAUUUUGUACACUGAAGGGUACUGCUGACUGAGAAGCGUGCGUCCAAGCCUGGGGUCUCCCCAAACUAUAGUACCCUCUCACAGUGGCAGACCUACACAAUCAAAACUAAGCGGGCCGAUACAAAGGAAGGCCUACUAUUUUUCUCCCUUGGCCUAGUUUACUCUCAAUAAUGCACUGUGUGUUAUGGGUUGGUCAGGUCGUGGCCCAUUUUCCUGACAUGUAGCUCCGCCAGUGCUCCCUUUGUUUUUAUUUACUUCGCUUAUUGCUGCUAUUAUUUAUUUGCAUAUUAGCUUUGACCUAAAUCAAACUUUAUAAAGUUUGACCAAGUCUAUCAAAAAGAAUCUAAACUUUCACAAUAAAAAUGUAUGAUAUGAAAAUAUGUUAAAUAAUGAUUCUAGUGGUAUUGAUUUGGUAUUGUGAAAGUUAAUUUGUUUUUUGUAUAAACUUGAUCAAUGUUCAAAAAGUUUGAGCCAAGAAAAAGCUAAUAUGCUAAGUAUAUAGACAAAGAGAGUACUCCUAAAAGUUAGUGCCGCCGCAUACUAUGAAGGAUCCCUACUAUAGAGUUGGUGUUUUCCCUUAAAAAACUAAGGAGUUGGUGUUUAACUCAUGGAAAACCCUUCUAGAAUCGGUAGUUUGCAGGUUUAACCAUCACUUAUGAUAGAGUUCUUUCAGUGAUGUAUUUAUUUCACGUCAACUCUUACCAAACUCCAUCCUCAUUUGUUACGAAAGUACGUUUCAUGAUGAACCUAAUGUACUGAAUUGAUAUUGUAGUUAUUGAUGAUUUUUCUAUAAACUUUAUCAAAAUUCAUAAAAGUUUGACCGAGGACUAAUAUGCACUAUAUUUUGACAUGGAGGGAGUACUAACUAGGCGAGUCUGGAAAAAUAAAAACAAACGAUCAAAAUAGUUGCCCUACAUUCUCUCUCCAGAUUCUUGCCACGAAACACAGCAUAACAGGAGUAACCACAUUUCAUCAUCGUCACGCACAACCUCUUCUGUGUUGAUACUUAAUAAAGCUAAGCAGUCCUACACAAAAAACUGGAAGAUAUAGCAUCACAGAGCAGCAGAACAAUGCCAUAGGUUGCCUAGCUCUAGCUUGGAAGAAAUAACGAGUACAAGCUAGGACAAAGCUCGCCCAAACAUUAGCUCCAAACCCUGGGGGCGCAACGCACUGCUGUCGACCAUUAGGCGGUGAACAAGCCAAAGCAUCAAAAUACCGAGGCGUCUCCGUUCCUCGAAUGACUUAACUAGCGAGCACCGAGAGCAUUCCACUGCCACUUCUUGAGGCCAGCAACACCUCGCAGCCAGACCCUUUCGGCCUUGUUUGAUGGAGAAGGUUUGUGGAGGUUUGGAAGGGAAUAUCCCCGCAGGGUCCAAAAUCCCCAGAAAUCCUCGUCAGCCCAUUUGGCAUGCAGGGAUUGGGCAGAUCAACCCCCUCUGAUCCCCACGAACCCCUCUCCAUCCAUGUGGUACAUAAAACCCCCGGAGCCACCCAGGGAAUAGAGAAGAGUUGGACGUUUGCUAUGCUGCUGUUGUUGUAGGAAGUUUAACCAAAUAGAGGGUUUCUAAAGGGAGAGGGAUUAGUGGGGAAUUGAGGGGAUUGGGUGGAGGAGAGGGAUUCACCCUCUCCACAAAUCUCCCCAAUCCCCUUGUAUCAAACGAGGCCUUCAGGGGUACAAGAGGGGCGGCAGUGGCAGCCACGGCAGGGCCACUGAGGUCACUCCGGUCCAUCACCUUCAGAAGGCCAUCAUCGCUGAUAUCCGUCUGGACUAUCCUAUCUUCCUCGUCCUGCAGUCCUACACACUCCUAAGCAGCGCCAGCAUAUCCGCCUCCUGCCAUUCUCAACAAAAAGUAGGAACACAUCAGCAAUCAUGCAAUCGUCUGAUGAUCACUGAACAGUCAAUUUACAAGGUACACUGGAUGCAAUAUUUUAUUUAUUUAUUUGCGAGAAAACUUCCGAUCUAUUCAUCUUUAAUCAUGACAGUACAUCGAACACCAGAAAUAAUAAAAAUUACAUCCAGAUCCGUGGACCACCUAGCACAACUACAAGCACUGAAGCAAGCCAAAGGCGCGCCGCCGUCAUUGCCCCUUCAUCGCCGGAGCCGGGAAAAACUUAUUGUAGUAGAAAGUCGGAAAGUCGUCGUGCUAAGGCCCCAUAGGGCCAGCGCAGCAGAACAACAACCGCCACCAACGAAUAGUAGCGUAUGUCGGAAGGAUCCAACUUGAAAACACAUAAACAUAGACGAACUACGAGCAGAUCCGAGCAAAUCCACCAAGGACAGAUCCGCCAGAGACAUGCCUCCACACGCCCAACUAUGAUGCUACACACACCAUCGGGGCAGGGACUAGGCGGGGAGAACCUUAUUCCAUCUUCAGGAAGCCACAAUUGUCUCGUCUUCCUAAACAGGACACAAUCCCUAACAAAACACGAAGAAAUAACUGAAAACAGAGCCCUCACACCAGCAAGGGCCGAGAUCCACUCCGUCGCCGUGGCCCUAAGGCCACCGGAGACAAGGCGGACCACCGAUGGCGCCAGCGGGAGGUAGGGGAACCCUAGACUUGGAGGAGGCAACCCACUUAGGUAAUGAUUUUUUGCAAUCUUUUAUAUUUUGGACAUCGAUUUUUACAUCUAAGGCGUUAGGCUUGGCGGCAUCUUGUUGAAUCUGUCCCUUCUCUAUCACCACAUGCUCUAGCUUCAGCUUUCCACAAGCUCUCUUAAUAAUCCGUUUGUGCAACAAUCAGGAGAUAAGCCCCGAUGCCACAAAAAUUAGCCAAGCAAGAGCCUGAAGAUCAUGCACUAACCAUAUCUCACCAGAAUUUGAUGUUGCCAACCGAUAAACAUGAACCGAUUUUGUUGGUGCAAUGCGGUGGCAUCGAUCCAUAGCCUGUAAAUCCAUCCAUCUGAGGAUUCUACGGACAAAUAAAAUGUUGAGCAUAUGGGAAAAUUAAACGAGAUAGAACGGACCUAGCCGCCGGUGUUGCAGUGCAUGUGGGCCGUGUUAUUUGGGUCCUUCGUUUAGACUGGACCAAAGUCUCUUCUCGCUAGGCGCUAGUAUACCGAAAACGUUUCUCAAAAAAAAAACCAUAGAAUCUGUUAGCGCCACUGACCAGAACAAUAUCAAUGACAUUGGCACGAACGAUGUAUUUCUACUCAAUCAAAAGGAAAAAAAAGUCACGAACCAUGUGGAUUAGCCAGGAAGCAGUGCGGCCGACAUGCAGACGGUGGAUCAAAGGCAUCCCCCAAACAGCAUGGGCACACGCACGCAUGCAUUGCGCGGGCGCCCAGAUGGCAACAGCACGGUGACGUUUUUAAACCGUGAUAAGAGAUCGAAAGUUCUCCUCGCAAAAAAGUAAAUAAAAUAGAUAUUGUAUAGAAUUUUUUUAAAAUUUUAAAUAGUGUAUAUAUUACUUUGAUAUUGUACUCUACUUUCAUUUUGAUAUUUUAUUUAAGCUUGCCCCACCUUAAUCUUUCACCGUCCUCCGCCACUGACAAGAACCACAUGCUCCCUCACAGAUGCAAUAGAUCAUUUGUAGCCAUUAUUUAUUAGAACAUUAUUAUAGUGCCAAAAGGAUAAAAGAAAGUGUAAAGAGCCUACAUGUGGACCUAGACUAACCAUGUUAUAAAAGGUAGAUGAAGUAGCAUAGAGCAAACAUGAGAGUACCACCUACAAUUGUUGCAAACUUGAAGAGAGGAGGGGAUAGAGACAAAGCAAGUUGAUUACCAUGUUUCUGAUUUGGCCUUUGGAUGGGAGCCAAACAACAUCCCGUGGGAUUGAGAGACGCGGGGAAUUUGCUGUGUACAGCUUGGUGUGGACUUUCUUCUCCUUAGCCAUUGCUGCUAGGCUGAGUGUAGCCUCUGUUUAGAUGUUCAAUUUUGUACAGCGAAGGGUAUUGCUGAGUGAGAAGCGUGCGUUCAAGCCUAUAGGAUCUCCCCAAAAUAUAGUACUCACUCGCAGCAGCGGACCUACACAAUCAAAACAUGGUGGGCUGAUACAAAGGGAGGCUUGGUGUUUUUCUCCCAUUGCCCCAUUUACUCUCAAUAAGGCAUUGCGUGUUUGCUAUGAGUUGGGCAGGCCAUGGCCCAUUUCUCUAACAUGUAGCUCCGCCAGUGCCCCCUUCGUUUUUAUUUACUUCACAUAUUGUUGCUAAAAAGGAAAUUUACUUCGCAUAUUAGCUUUGACCUAGGUCAAAUUUUAUAACGUGUGACCAAGUCUAUCAAAAACAAUCUAAACUUUCGCAUUAAGAAAAGUACGUACGAAAACAUAUUGAAUGAUGAUUCUAAUGUGUUGGUUUGGUAUUGUGAAUGUUAACUUUUUUUUGGUAUAAACUUGAUCAAUGUGUAGAAAGUUUGACCCGAGAGCUAAUAUGCUAAGUAUAUAAAAACAAAGAGAGUACUCCUACUAGCUAGUGCCGCCGCUUACUGUGAAGGAUCCCUACUAAAGAAUUUGUGUUUAACUUAUGGAAAACCAUUCUAGAAUUGAUGGUUUGUAGGUUAAACCAUCACUUAUGAUAGAGUUCUUUCAGUGAUGUAUUUACUUCACAUCAACUCUUACCAAACUCCAUCCUCAUUUGAUACGGAAGUACAUUUCAUGAUGAACCUAAUGGUAUUGAAUUGAUAUUGUAGUUAUUGGUAUUUUUUCUAUAAACUUUAUCAAAAUUCAAAAGUUUGACUGAAGACUAAUAUGCACUAUAUUUUGACAUGGAUGGGGUACUAACCAGGCGAGUCUGAAAAACAAAAAAUAAAAAAAUAAGUUGCCAUGCAUUCUUCAUCAACAUCACUCACUACCUCUUCAUGUUUCUGUGUUGAUACGUAAUAAAGCUCAGCAGUUCUACACCAAAACCUGGAACAUUACCAGUCUCUUCUAGCAUACCAUGACAGCCUUAUAUAGUUUGCCUAGCUAGCUUGGAACAAGGUACGAGCAUAAGCUUAGCACAGAGCCUGCCAAAACAUCAGCUCCUGAACCUCGGGGGUGCAACGCACUAUUGUCGAGCAUUAGGCGGCGAAUGAACAAAAACAUCAAAAUACCGAGUCUUCAUUGCGCCGAGAGCAUGCCGCCACCGCUCUUCGAGGCCAGCACCACCUCCCAGCCAGGUCCUUUCAGGGGGGCGAGAGGUGCGGCAUUAGCAGCCGCUGCAAGGCCGGUGAGGUCGCUGCGGUCCAUCACCUUCAGAAGGUCCUCGUCGAUGAUAUCUGUCUGGAUCAUCCUGUCUUCCCCGCCCUGCUCGUCGCUCAGCAGCGCUAGCAGCUCAGCCUCCGGCAAUUCCCCACAUUGAAAGAACAUAUCAGCAAUCAUUCCCAGUGUUUGGUAAUCACAGGGAAAAAAGAAGGUUAACAGCUUUUACGUCUAGGGCGUUAAGCUUUGCGGCAUCUUGUUGAAACUGCCCCUUCCCAAUCACCACAUGCUCUAGUUUGAUCUUUCCAAAAGCUCUCUAAAUAAUCCAUCCCUGCGACAAUGAGGAGAUGAGCCUCGAUGCCACAAAAAUUAGAGAAACAAGAGUCUCAAGAUCAUCCCCUAACCAUACCUCAACAGAAUUUGAUGUUGCCAACCGAUAAACAUGAACCGGUUUUGUUUGACCAAUGCGGUAGCAUCGAUCAUAGCAUGUAAAUCCAUCCGAGGAUUCUGCAGAACAACUAAAAAGUGGGAACUCCUAUGAGGCACCUUAAAAGCAUCUCCAAUACAUCAUGUAGAUGUAAAAAUAACCGAAACAUACAUCACCAAGGCCUAAAAACGUCCACCCAGCAAAUAAUAUAGAUGAGAAUUUUAUACAUCUGCUGUAAAAUGCAUCACCAAGUGAUGCAAAAUAUACAUCACUUGGGCGCAGAUAUUAGCGCAAAUGGCAUGCGGACGCAUCUUGUUUGAUACCGUGCAAUUUCUAAUUCUAGCAUGUAAAAACAGUUUUGACCACUCCGAUUUAAUUUAGUUCAAGUGGCUUCACUUGUGUACUAGCCGCUCUGAUUUACUUUAGUUUAAUUUCAGUUUGCACAUUCCGAUAGUAAAAUUCAGUCUCGAAAGUUAAAUACAGUGACAGCAGUUUUCACAUCAACUGUUGGAAAGGCGCCCGCGGUUGAUGUAUUUUACAUGAUCGGUCGGAGUUUGGUGUUUUUUGGUGAUGUAAAAUCCACUUUUUUAUGAUGUAAAUUUUACAUAUAAUUUUUUUUGUGAUGUGUUUUACAUCUAACAUUUUUGAUGAUGUAUUUUACAUCAUUUGUAGGAAGUGCUCUAAGCGGAUGACCUGGUGCUCACGCGUGCCCGUUCGUGGGCCGGACCAGUGGCGGACCCAGGAAUAGGCCAGGCCCCAGGCGAACUGGGCCAGGGCCUAGGCAGCCUUUGUUAACUGUAGUUCUUUGCUACAGUAUUUGCUACAGUCAACGAAGCAGAUGGGCCUCACGCCCCAGGCCAGCGCCCGGGCUGCCUGGGCCCAAAUCCGCCACUGGGCCGGACGAUGUAGAAAGCGAGCCGCUAAAUCACAUUUGACCGGUUUCUCUUCUAGUUGCUCAAUCGCAUUUUGACUGGCUGUAGUUGACCAAUUGACUGGUCAACUUGUUUAAAAAAAUAAGCAAAAAAUUAAUUAAAAAAAUGCAAAACAUCGAAGUUUGGUGUUUUUUGGUGAUGUAAAAUCCAUUUUUUGAUGACGUAAAUUUUACAUAUAAUUUUUUUCUGAUGUGUUUUACAUCUAACACUUUUCAUGAUGUAUUUUACAUCAUUUGUAGGAAGUGCUCUAAGCGGAUGACCUGGUGCUCACGCGCGCCCGUUCGUGGGCCGGACGAUGUAGAAAGCGAGCCGCUAAAUCGCAUUUGACCGGUUUCUCUUCUAGUUGCUCAAUCGCAUUCUGACCGGCUACAGUUGAGCAAUUGACUGGUCAACUUGUUUAAAAAAAUAAGCAAAAAAUUAAGAAAAAAAUGCAAAACAUCGAAAAAGUUUGUGAAUUCACUAUUUUUUUAACUAAAUCACAAAUUUCAAAAGAAUUUUUUUUUUUUUGAAAAAAUUGGCCGAAUCUAUAAAGUUAACAAAAAUUGAAAGACAAAUCGUCGCAUUUGAAGAAAGUUUAUUAAUUUUCAACAAAAAUCAUCAAAUUUGAAAAAAAAAAUCAUUUAUUUUGUAAAUAUGAGAUAGAUAUUGAAAAAAAGUUCAUCACUGAGAAAAACAAUUAUCAAUCAGAAAAAAUUUACGGGGCUUUCAAAAUCCACAAAAACCUAACACAAAAAAAGUUACGGGGCUUUCAAGAUCUGGAGAGGCAAAAAAUUUAAACUUAGUAGUGGCGCAUCAUUUGCUAGGUGCCCCACUAGUAACAGAAAAAAAAUUAGUUUCAAAUUUUUUUUGGAGAAUUUUUUUUCAAAAUAUGAUACGUAAUAUGAACGGAAGUUUGAAAUAUUUUUUCAAAAUUUCAUCACACUCAUGAACAUGAACAAAGUCCUAAACAUCAACAAGGUUUAAUAGGAUUGAUGUGCACUAGUAGAAAAGGGGGCAAAGGUCCAGGCAGGGUCAGCCCAUUAGUCCCGGUUCAGUCCAGAACCGGGACCCAUGGGGGCAUUGGACCCGGUUCGUGAGCCCCGGGGGCCGGCCGGGCCAUGUGGGCCAUUGGUCUCGGUUCGUCUGGACCUUUUGGUCCCGGUUGGUGGGACGAACCGGGACCANNNNNNNNNNNNNNNNNNNNNNNNNNNNNNNNNNNNNNNNNNNNNNNNNNNNNNNNNNNNNNNNNNNNNNNNNNNNNNNNNNNNNNNNNNNNNNNNNNNNNNNNNNNNNNNNNNNNNNNNNNNNNNNNNNNNNNNNNNNNNNNNNNNNNNNNNNNNNNNNNNNNNNNNNNNNNNNNNNNNNNNNNNNNNNNNNNNNNNNNNNNNNNNNNNNNNNNNNNNNNNNNNNNNNNNNNNNNNNNNNNNNNNNNNNNNNNNNNNNNNNNNNNNNNNNNNNNNNNNNNNNNNNNNNNNNNNNNNNNNNNNNNNNNNNNNNNNNNNNNNNNNNNNNNNNNNNNNNNNNNNNNNNNNNNNNNNNNNNNNNNNNNNNNNNNNNNNNNNNNNNNNNNNNNNNNNNNNNNNNNNNCCCCCUCGCUUAAGAGCAGAGCACACUGCUCUGUUUUUUCUGGCCACCGAGGGGGAGAGGGCUUGGUGGUGCUCUAGCUCACCUCCUAUGCACACAAGGUGUUCGAUGGAAUGCCCGAGCCAGACUACUUAAGCUUUCUCCUCUCCAAGCUCGACCUCCAAGCUCCAUUUUCCUCAAUAUUUGUCUAGGUUUAGCGGUCCGUCAUGCCCCGUCCCCGUCUUCACCGCCGUCGAUCACUCGCGCCGAUCUCAUCGCCGGCAUCACCAUGGUGAGCCUCUUGUUCUUAUCUUCUUUCUGAAAGGAAAAAUAUUCUUACUUGUAUGUUUAGAUAGAUACUUGUAUUAUUUUCUUACUUUUAUUAUUGCAUCUUAUAUAGUGCGAUGGUUUUGGUAUCCGCCCCCGUCGGUCCUCGUCCUGUCUAUGAUUCGGAUGUGGUAUAUAUUAUCUUUUCAUAACUAUUGGUUCAUUUAUUGUUUAUGACAAUUAUGCCGACCAACGUGACAUAGAUUUUAUUUAUCUAGGAGGUUGUUGAACCGGAAAUUCCAACCGACCCUAUUGUCGAGAGGUUAAAUUUAGUUGAAGAAGAAAACAUUUUCUUGAAGGAAAAAAUAAGAAAAAUUGAGGAGGAGAAGAUGAUAUUGGAGUUGCAUGUUGCGGAUGUCGUCGAUGAUCACAAGAUCAAGAUGGAUGCAAUGCGCUUGAAGAUUAGAAAGAUUAGAAAAUAUGCCAUUCAUACCGAGGCUUGGUAUCAUUAUGCCGUUGGAUCAGUUGUUACCUUGGUUACGAUUAUGAUCGCAUUUGUUUUCGCAUUGAAAUGUUUUACAUAGUUUCAAUGUAUGGUUUAAUUAAUUUAGAUGCUCUGUAGAGCUUUAUGUUGUUAGAUGAUAACUAUGUAUGUACUUUGGUUUUAAUGUGAUGAUGAACUUCUAUUAAUUUGGUCACUUAAUUAUCUAUUCAUGAUGUUCUGUAAUGAUUUUUGACACACUUAAUUAUAUAUAAUGCACGCAAAUGAACCGGCAAUGGAUGUACGGUGACAGACACACCUCCAAGUACAUUAAGGACAUGCAUGAUUUUCUCGAAGUGGCUGAGGCAAACAAGCAGAAUGGUUUUAUGUGUUGUCCAUGCCCUAUAUGUGGGAAUACAAAGUCUUACUCUGACUGGAAAAUCCUUCACACCCACCUGCUUUACAAGGGUUUAUUGCCACACUAUAAUGUUUGGACGAGGCACGGAGAAAUAGGGGUUAUGAUGAAAGACGGCGAAGAAGAAGAGUACAAUGACAAUUAUGUGCCCCCUGAAUAUGGUGAUGCUACUGAACAUCAAGAGGAACCAGACGAUGUGCACAAUGAUGCUGCAAUGGGCGAAGCUAUUGAAGAUCAAGAGGAACCAGACGAUGUGCCCGAUGAUGAUGAUCUCCGCCGGGUCAUUGUCGAUGCAAGGACGCAAUGCGAAAGUCAAAAGGAGAAGCUGAAGUUCGAUUGCAUGUUAGAGGAUCACAAAAAAGGGUUGUACCCCAAUUGCGAAGAUGGCAACACAAAGCUCGGUACCGUACUAGAAUUGCUGCAGUGGAAGGCAGAGAAUGUUGUGCCUGACAAAGGAUUUGAGAAGCUACUGAAAAUAUUGAAGAAGAAGCUUCCAAAGGAUAACGAAUUGCCUGAAAGUACAUACGCAGCAAAGAAGGUCGUAUGCCCUCUAGGAUUGGAGGUGCAGAAGAUACAUGCAUGCCCUAAUGACUCCAUCCUCUACCGCUGACGGGUCGCAGUGGAGAAAAAUCAAGAGAGAGUACUGGGCUGAGUUUGCACGUGACCCAAGGAACGUAUGGUUUGGUUUAAGCGCGGAUGGCAUUAAUCCUUUCAGGUAGCAGUGCAGCAAUCACAGCACCUGGCCCGUGACUCUAUGUAUGUAUAAGGUUCCUCCUUGGAUGUGCAUGAAGCGGAAGUUCAUUAUGAUGCCAGUUCUCAUCCAAGGCCCUAAGCAACCCGGCAACGACAUUGAUGUGUACCUAAGGCCAUUAGUUGAAGAACUUUUAUAGCUGUGAAAUGAAAACGGUGUACGUACGUGGGAUGAGCACAAACAGGAGGAAUUUAACCUAAAGGCGUUGCUGUUCGUGACCAUCAACGAUUGGCCCGCUCUCAGUAACCUUUUAGGACAGACAAACAAGGGAUACCACGCAUGCACACACUGUUUAGCUGACACCGAAAGUAUAUACUUGGGAAGCUGCAUGAAGAAUGUGUACCUGGGCCAUCAUCAAUUUCUUCCGACCAACCAUCAAUGUCGAAAGAAAGGCAAGCAUUUCAAAGGCGAGGCAGAUCACCGGAAGAAGCCCGCCAUGCGUACCGGUGAUCACGUACUUGCUAUGGUCAAUGAUUUACACAUAAUCUUUGGAAAGGGUCCCGGCGGACUAGCUGUUCCAAGUGACGCUGGGGACACGCACCCAUCACUACAGGAAAUAGUUAAUUUGCCGUUUGUCGAUUACAGACGGCAAAGACGUAAAUCCAGAACGCAAAGAGUUUGCCGUCAGGAAGUAGACGGCAAAGAUAAAUCGGCAAAGAAUACUUUGUCGUCUGUUAUUUUUUCUGCAUGACGGCAAAGAUUUUGCCGUCGGUCUAUACUGUUUGCCGUCAACUAGACCGUCCAGACGGCAAAGAAAAGUAACCUAACAGACUAACGACCCUAACGAACGGCAUCAGUGUUUUGCCGUGAGCCAGAUUACUUCUUUGCCGUUAGGCAGAAACAUCAUAGACGGCAAACCGUUCUUUUUUAUUAAAAAAAUAGAUCAGCAGUCUCGUCACCGCACAUCCACAUCAUCUCGUACAAAGCUCGCCGGAGCAGAGAUUCUUGCCGCCCGCAUGCGCCCAACAGCCAAGCUGCUCACCAUGCCGACAUCACCGGAGAAGAGAUGUUGGACGCGCCCAACCUCACCAGAGAAAAGCCCCGCUGCCGGAGGGAGGCCAUGCUGGAUGGAGGCCACGCCGGAGUGAGGAGGCGCCGGAAGGAGGAGGUCGCGCUCGCGCUGCUUGCCAGAGUGAGGAGGCACCGGAGGGAGGAGCCCGCACCGCGCGGCCCCACUGCUCGGCGGAGUGAGGAGGCCGUGCCGCUCACCGGCCCGCGCCGCGCUGCCCGCGCUGCUCGUCGGUGUGAGGAGGCGAUGGAGGGAGGAACCCACGCCACUCGCGCUGCUCGCCGGAGUGAGAAAGCCAUGCUGCUCGCCGGAGUGAGGAAGCCGUCAUGCCGCCCGCGUUGCUCACACAGUCUGCGCCGUGCUACUCGCCUGAGAGAGGAGGCGCUGGAGGUAGGAGACGCCAAAGGGAGGAGGUCGCGCGAGGCCUCCUACGUGGGGCGCUGGGGAACGGGCGGCGGCGCGAGGCCUCUGGCGUGGGGCGUUGGGAAACGGGCGGCGCCGCGAGGCAGGAGGCCGCCGGCGGCUUCCAUGGCGGGGAUGGGGGAUGGGGCCGGCUCAAUGGAGGAGAGAGGAUUGGGCCGGCUCGACGGGGAUGGGGGACGGGGCCGACUCGAGGGAGGAGAGAGGACGGGGCAGUUGGAGGGGAGCAUGGCUGGGUGUAGGGUGGCCGGCGGCGACCAUGGCGGGGCUACUGGUGAGUUAUGUGAGAGAGAGAUGCGUGAGACAGAGAACGUGGGGAUAAGGGAGAGAGAACAUGGUGGGGUCGGCUGAGGGUGAGAGAACGUGGGGGAGAGAGAGAACAUGUUGGGGGCGUGGGAAAGAGAUGUAGCGUGGGGUGUGGAUCGUGCCACCUCAAUGAUCCGGGGGAUCGAUCCGCGAGGUGUGUUUCUUCUUUGCCGUCUGCCAUUUUUUUAUAAACGGCAAAGUACUUUGCUGUAUGCGGUUUUUAUUACAGACGGCAAAGAGUGCUCUUUGCCGUCUGUAAUAAAAACCGCAUACGGCAAAGCAAAGUUUUCGUUGCCGUCUGUAAUAGAAACCGCGUACGGCAAAGUUUUCUUUGCCGUCUAUGAUAGAAAUCGCAGACGGCAAAGUUAUCUUUGCCGUCAGUCAUUCUUUGCCGACGGCAGCUAACGGCAAAUGUGCUCUUUGCCGUCUACCCCGACGAAAAGCUGACGGCAAAGAUGCUCACUGACGGCAAACUAGUUGUUUCCUGUAGUGCAUGUGGAAGAAGAAAUCUAUAUUUUGGGACCUACCCUACUGGAAAGACCUAGAGAUCCGCUCUUCGAUCGACGUGAUGCAUGUGACGAAGAACCUUUGCGUGAACCUACUAGGCUUCUUCGGCGUGUAUGGGAAGACAAAAGAUACACCUAAGCACAGGAGGACCUGCAACGUUUGCACAAAAAAGACGGCAUGCCUCCGAAGCAGUAUGAAGGUCCUGCCAGCUACGCUCUUACCAAAGAAGAGAAGGAAAUAUUCUUUGAAUGCCUGCUUAGUAUGAAGGUCCCGACUGGCUUCUCGUCGAAUAUAAAGGGAAUAAUAAAUAUGGCAGAGAAAAAGUUUCAGAACCUAAAAUCUCAUGACUGCCACGUGAUUAUGACGCAACUGCUUUCGGUUGCAUUGAGGGGGCUUCUAUCGGAAAACGUCCGAUUAGCCAUUGUUAAGCUAUGUGCAUUCCUCAAUGCAAUCUCUCAGAAGGUGAUCGAUCCAGAAAUCGUACCAAGGCUAAGGAGUGAUGUUGCGCAAUGUCUUGUCAGUUUCGAGAUGGUGUUCCCACCAUCCUUCUUCAAUAUCAUGACGCACGUCCUAGUUCAUCUAGUCGACGAGAUUGUCAUUCUGGAGCCCGUAUUUCUACACAAUAUGUUCCCCUUUGAGAGGUUCAUGGGAGUCCUAAAGAAAUAUGUCCGUAACCGCGCUAGGCCAGAAGGAAGCAUCUCCAUGGGCCAUCAAACAGAGGAUGUCAUCGGGUUUUGUGUUGACUUCAUUCCUGGCCUUAAGAAGAUAGGUCUCCCUAAAUCGCGGUAUGAGGGGAGACUGACUGGAAAAGGCACGCUUGGAAGGGACUCAAUAAUAUGCAGGGACGGAUAUUCUUGGUCUCAAGCACACUGCACAGUUCUACAGAACUCUACCUUGGUGACCCCUUAUGUCGAUGAACACAAGAACAGUCUGCGCCCCAAACACCCGGAGCAGUGCGACGACUGGAUUACAUGAUCAUGCCCCCCUUGAACCAACGGCUAGGAGGACCUGGUAGUUAGCCGUGAAAGAGGGACCAAUCAUGCUUGCGGUUAGAGUAUCGUCGACGUGUUCAAGCUUACUCUCUUGGAGGCACACAAUAGUGGUGUUGCAGUCUCGAACAAGGUCCCGCACGGCGUCGCGACGGGCAGGGGCAUUAAGGCCACGCACAUUCCAGGAUUGAAGCUUGACAUUAGCUUGCGCCAUAUGAGGAAACAUGGAUCACAAGGGGUUCAUAGACCAAAAACAUGCAGAGUGGAGGCGCGCAGAGGUGCCAGGUGGCGGAUGUGGUGACACUGAGUAGCAAACACAGGGACGGAUGAACUCGAAAGGAAGCAGCGAAGACAAUGUUGUGAGCUACAACACACAUGGCAGAACUACACAUUGGCAACCACGGUGGCUUCGUUGGCGGUGGCUUUCUUCUUUCCUGGCUUAGACUUGGCUGCCUUGACAUGCUUCGCUAGGGUCUCGAUCGUCUAGAUGACCGGAGCAGGAAGGGGCGUGUUAAACAGCACCUCAUAGGUUGUCUGAACCCCGGCAUCCAUCUCCGACUCCGGGCCGAGCAGGUUGCAGGCACGAGCAAUCAGUUCCUGGACCGCCGAACUGCUCUGAAGGCACUGCCUCGUCUUCUUUUUAGCCGGCCUCCCGCUCCACGAGGCGAGGAGAGGUUGACACCUCGUGCUCUUCUGGUCUUGGCUGGCUUUGGCACUGGGGCAGGCAACAGGGGCGCUGCAGGAGGGGCGACGAUGGAGUCCAGGAACCGGUCGAGCGCACCGGCAACAGGCAUGGAAGCGCCCUCCAGCGCAGAUGCAACGGCGUCUAGGUGGCCCACUUGGACAGGGGAUGCCAGAGAGGAGGCCAGCACCAGCGUCACAGUCACGGCGCCCUCCAAGCCUGCAAAAACAGGGGAGGCCAGAACAGUGGAGGCCGGAACAGGGGGGGCGGCGACAGGGGGGGCAUAGGCGAUGCGCAGUAUGGACCUGGGAGUGCCGUAGGCGGCAGGGGUGAGGCCACCGGAGUGCGUCCAGGGGGUCACUGCAUGGAGGUGAGUCGACCGUGGACGUCGGGGAGCACACAGGAGAAGCACAGCAGCUUGUGGACACCAAGCCGGACAGAGGAGGCAGGGAGCCAAAUNNNNNNNNNNNNNNNNNNNNNNNNNNNNNNNNNNNNNNNNNNNNNNNNNNNNNNNNNNNNNNNNNNNNNNNNNNNNNNNNNNNNNNNNNNNNNNNNNNNNNNNNNNNNNNNNNNNNNNNNNNNNNNNNNNNNNNNNNNNNNNNNNNNNNNNNNNNNNNNNNNNNNNNNNNNNNNNNNNNNNNNNNNNNNNNNNNNNNNNNNNNNNNNNNNNNNNNNNNNNNNNNNNNNNNNNNNNNNNNNNNNNNNNNNNNNNNNNNNNNNNNNGGUCGUCGAUGGUGAGCACUCCCAUAGCAAUGCAUGCCCCCUCGAACCACGCUUCCUUCCCCACAGCAGGGUCGUAGGCGAGCCAGACUCCAGUGCAGCGAAGGCGCCCGGCCGGCUUCGGCCAUAGCCGUUGCAAAUGCAGCCGGCAUAGCGAUUAGGCAUCAAAGCUCGGCCGCCUCCCAGAGCACCACCUCACGCAGCGCCAGGUGCUCGUCUGCCUCCUUGCCGUCGAAGACCCGCCGGACCUUGGCCUCGGCCAACGCCACCACGCCAUCUUCCUGAAGCAGCCCACUACCGCGGAGGAGUAAGCCGCGUGGCGCCAUCGGCCGUUGUCCCGAUGGCCACCCGCAUGGCCGUGGUGCCAACGCGGGGAGUGAGUGCGAGGACGCGCAAUGGCCUCGCCAUGGCUGCGCCCAGCCCGCCUGUCACCAGGAUCGCCCGAUCGGUCAUCAUUGUCGUCACCUUCAUCAUCGGUCCUCCAUGGGCGCGGCUCAUGGCAGGCACCUACGCCGCUUCCACUGGCAUGGGCACGCGGUGGACCACGCUUCGUGGUGCCGCGGGAGUCGAACACGCCAGGGAUGACAAUGUCGUUGGAGGACACAUAAGCGUGGUCGUCAAUGGUUCCGCGAUGGCAAGGCGGGAACACGGAUAUCGGAGGGGAGUACACCACUUGCCGGCCGCCCUGCGUCUCCAUGUCGAGGGGGGCCGAAGUGUAGUCGUCAACCCACAGGAGGUGGACGAUGACGUGGAAAGUGGCACCGCACAGAUACCGCGCCGGCUGCCGCGCCGAGAUCGAGACGCCAUCGGGGGCUCGCGACGUGAAGGUCAGCCAGACAACCUUUGGGAUCCUGCUUGGGUUGGCCGUCCACACCCAGAGGCCUAUGUCGCGCGUGUCCGACAUGCAGAUGGAGCGCUCAUCCAUGACGUCCAGCGCGCAGGUGUGGCCGAUGACGCACUUGACGAUGGAGUGCGUCCACGCAUAGGCAGGCAUGCCGUCGAGGACGACGCACGCGUGGAAGGGCAUGGCCGCACCGAGCGCGUGCGCCUGCGGCCUCCAAGGCUUGAUGAAGACCCGCAUGCCAUCACCCAUGCGGAGCCAACCCUUGUCCAGCGUAGCAGCGCAGAGCUCCUUGCAAUCGAACUUGAGGAGGAACUCCUCCGGGUAGUGGUUGCUGACGGUGACAUCACCCCUACACAGAUAGAGCCGGUCCUAGAGUAGGCGCUCCACCACAGCCGGGGCCAAGCGACAAGGGGCGUCCACUGCCUAGGCGAUGGCGGCUGUCUGCUCCCAGGUGCACUGGUCGCGAUCGAUGUCGAAGGUGGCCACAAUGAUGCAGGUGUCAUCCUCCGGCCUGGACUCCGGUGCUCCUAGUCCAUGUUGGGCCAUGUCAAGUGAAGGCGGAGCGGGGAGGGAAGAAGGGCAACCCUGGCGUGAGGCGACCACAUCAACCCUGGAGCGCCCCGAGCACGGCCUGCGGGAAGGUGGAGGGCGGGGCGAGGGCGAAGGGGGUGGCGGCUCAUCACGCCCUGUGCAGAAACGAGCGCGGUGGCCCGAGCGGUCACAGGCAAGACAGCGCAAGGGCUCAUGGCAGGAACGGGCGCGGUGGUGCUUGCUAAGGCAGCGGAAAAACCUCCACCGCGUGCUCCUUAAGAACAGCAGCCUCCUCUCCUCAGCCAGACUUACGCCGAGCCCGGCCAGACGCCCAUCGCAUCGGCAUAAAAGAGCGUCCUGUCAUGGACGGUGCCUCGAGCCCACCGUCGUCCAGGGCGUGGCGCGCCCAUCCUCCUCUGACGGGCGGACAUGCACUUCUUGAAUGCUUCCGCCAUGAAUGCCCCCGGCAGGCGCAAUCACCAUUGAGUAGAGCCAACGCGUCGUGAAUGCGUCGCCAGGCGCGCGGGAGCCCGAGACCCCCUCCGAGCCGCGCGCGCAAACAGGCACGAGCGGGGAGGCAGGGCACAGCUGCGACCCCGAGGUCGGCAGGUCGUGGCCGAUCUGGAUCUGGCUCUGGCUCACCGGGAGGUCGACGAGGCUUGAUGCGGCGAUGAUGGAGCCCUAGCGCUAGGAGAGGAACCAAGGGGCCUGUGGCGCGAGGAUGGUUGGCCGGAAGGGGGGCGGGGGCAAUCUGGCCGGCGGCAGCGGCAACGGUGGGAGCGGCGGCAAGGCCGCCGAGCGCGUCGCAGGAGCAACGGUCAUAUUGUGCUCGCUCGCUGGAUCAUGCAGGCGCAUCUUGUUUGAUACUGUGCAAUUUCUAAUUCUAGCAUGUAAAAACAGUUUUGACCUCGCCGAUUUAUUUUACUUUAAGCGGCUUCAAUUGAGUACUAGCCGAUUUAUUUUAGUUUAAUUUCAGUUUUGCACGUUUCGGUUUUAAAAUUCAGUCUCGACAGUUAAACUCAGAGAUAGCAGUUUUCACAACACCCAUUGAAGCGGCGCCUGCGCGGCUGAUGUGUUUUACAUGAUCGGUGGGAGUUUGGUAUUUUUUUGGUGAUGUAAAACUUAUUUUUUAAUGAUCUAAAUUUUACAUAUAAAUUUUUGUGAUGUAUUUUACAUCUAAUAUUUUUUAUGAUGUAUUUUACAUCUUUUGUUGAAGAUGCUCUAAGCCGAGGAACUGGUGCUCACGCGCGCCCGUUCGUGAGCCGGCAACGUAGAAAGCGAGCCGCUAAAUCACAUUUGACCAGUUUUUCUUCCGCUCAAUCGCAUUUUGACUGGUUGCGGUUAAUCAGUUGACUGGUCAACUUGUUUUAAAAAAAUAAGCCAAAAAUUAAGAAAAAUAAAAAAAUGCAAAACAUCGAAAAAGAUCGCGAAUUCAAAAAAAUCACUAAAUUUGAAACAAAAUCAUGAAUUUGAAAAUAAGUUCAUUAUUUUUUGAAAAAAUCAUCGAAUCUAAAAAGUUCACAAAAAUUGAAAGACUAAUGAUCACAUUGAAGAAAGUUCAUCAAUUCUGAAAAAAAAUCAUCAAAUUUGGAAAAAAAAUCAUCUAUUUUGUAAAAAUGACAUCGAUUUUGAAAAAAGUUCAUCACUAAGAAAAACAAUUAUCGAUCUGAAAAACGUUCACACAAAAUGAAAAAAGCUCAAGAAUUCAAAAAAAUCACUGAGGUAUUAAAAAAGGUUCAACAAAUAUUAAGUAAGUUCAAAAAUAUUAAGAAUAAUAAUUGAAUUUGAAAAAAGUUCAUCGAAUUUGAAAUAAAAGCCGUUAAUUUUGAAAAAAGCUUCAUCGAAUUUGUAACAAACUUCAUCAAUUUUGAAAACAAGUUUAUCAUGUUAAAAAAAUCAUCGAUUUGGAAAUGGAUCCCAAAUUUUAGAAAAAUAAGAAAGAAAAAAAAUAUAACAUGGAAACCCAGGUUGACAACACUAAAAAGACAAACAAAGAAAGAAAUGGGCGAGCCCGCUAAAAGACCUUGAGGACAGGGGGUGCACCCUGUACUGGAUGGCAUUUAAGCAGCACCUUCAGCGUCAUAUAGGAAAGCCCUGAAGUUCAGCGGGAAAUAAAACGAGAUAGGACGGGUCUAGCGGUCCGGUGUUGUAGUGCAUGUGGGUCGUAUUAUUUGGGCCCCUCCUUGGACUCGACCAAAGCCUUCUCGCUAGGCGCUGGUCAGCCAAACCAUUCGAUCGACCAUGAUCCCUCAAAAAAAAAUCGAUCGACCAUGAAGAUAUCAAUGCCAUAGGCAUGAUGAACGAUGGAUUCUAUACUAAAAAAAGUGCACGGCUGAUGAACUACCCAUGCAGCAGCGCAGCCGGUAGGCAGGCGGCUAAAGGCUAAAAUGUGAGGACACAAAUAUUGAGGAUGUCGCCAAGAGGGGAGUGGGGGUGGGGUGAAUAGGCGCUUUAAAAUAAAUACGGCUUAGGCUUGAAAAAAUAUGGAAUAAACCUAACGGUUAAUUUGUCAAGCACAAAAUCUACAACAACUAGGCUCACCUAUGUGCACCAACAAUUUAUGCUAUGCUAAGCAAGGUAAACAACCAUGUGAUAGCAAGAUAUAUGACAAGGAACAAUAUGGCUAUCGCAAAGUAAAGUGCAUAAGUAAAGGGCCCGGGUAAGAGAUAACCGAGGCACGCGGAGACGACGAUAUAUCCCGAAGUUCACACCCUUACGGAUGCUAAUCUCCGUUUGGAGCGGUAUGGAGGCACAAUACUCCCAAGAAGCCACUAGGGCCACUGUAAUCUCCUCAUACCCUCGCACAUUGCAAGAUGCUGUGAUUCCAUUAAGGGGCCUUGAGGGUGGUCACCGAACCCGUACAGAUGGCAACCCUUGGGGGAGGUCACCGAACCCGUACACUUUGCCAACACUUGGGGCGGUCAUCGGAACCCGUCAAAUUGCUCGGGGCAAUCUCCACAACCGAAUUGAAGACCCCAACACUUGCCCGGAGCUUCACGGCACAAUGAUUGAGCUCCGAACAUCACCAACCGUCUAGGGCACCAAGGCACCCAAGAGGAACAAGCUCAAGGGUACCAAGCACCCAAGAGUAAUAAACUUCUCAACUUUUCACUUUCACGUAUCACCGUGGGGAACUCAGACUAAUGCAACUAAUGCAAUGGCAAGGGCACACGGGUCCCUCAUUCUCAAAUCCCACCAAAGCAACAAAAGCUAUGGAGGAAUAUGAGAGAAAGAACAAGAAGGAGAACAUCAAGAACUCCAAGAUCUAGAUCCAAGGUGUUUCCCUCACAUAGAGUAGAAAGUGAUUGGUGGAAAUAUGGAUCUAGAUCUCCUCUCUCUUUCCCCUAAAAAUUAGCAAGAAUCCAUGGAGGGAUUGAGAGAUAGCAAGCUCGAAGAUGGUCAACAAGGGAGAAAGAACUUGAGCUGAAAGGAUAAUGCUCAAUGAGGAAGAAGACCCCCUUUUAUAGGAAGGGAAAAAAUCCAACUAUUAUCCCCAUUCUCAGCCCGCAGCAGGCGGUACUACCGCUCUAGGGAGAGGUACUACCGCUGCCCGCAAUGGUACUGCCGCUCGGCCCAGCGGUACUACCGCUGGGACCUUGCACAGUGCCCAAGGGAGAAGGAACAGAGAAGAGGGCCAUUGAGUGGCACUAGUAGCGGUAGUAGGGGCGGUACUACCGCUCCUACUGCUGCUGCUACUGCCGCUGCACCUGACACGAGACACGCAGAUCUCGAGUCUAGGCGGUACUAGUGCGGAAGCGGAGCCGUACUACCGCCUAUGGCCAUGGGCGGUACUACCGCUGUGAAACACUGAUACUACCGCUUAUGGCUUUCAGUGGUACUGCCACUCCGGUGUCGCGGUACUACCACUGGCGCCUCCCUUAUGCCACUUCCAAGCAAAACAGAUGCUCCAGGAAAAACCAGAACUGCCACAACUUCUGCAAAUGAGCUCUGAAUUGAGCAAACUCAAGCUUGUUGUAUAGAUGACGACGAGUAGCAUCCAACAACAGGGGAGAUAUACCUAAGAUAUAGAUAUGUGAAACCUCUAAGAAAGAAGAACCGACAUAAACUCCAACAUCGAAAACAUCAUAGAAAAUGCAUACAUCAACUCCGUUUUCGAUGAACUUGAGCUUUUCAAGAAGAUGACCAAAAGCUCUAAAACUCACAAAGAGAAACACCAAACAAGAAUAAAGAAAUACGAUGCAAGUAUGCAAUGGUUUGAGCUCUCUACAAAUGACACGAUCAAUCUACCUACUUGAGAGCCCCCCUUGAUAGUACGACAAUCGAUCCUAUAACCCGCUCUCCCAACUACCACCAUGAGACCGAUAAAAUAGAAAACCUACCAAGUGCAAUCCUUUACCUUGCGCAUUAUCCACUUGAGCUAGAUGAUGACAAUCUUGCCCUCCUCAAGAUGGACCACAUUUCUUGGUUGCGUUGGGUCGAUGAAGACCAGUUUAUUGCUCCCCCAUACUCCACUAUGGGUGAGGCACUCUUCGACACAUCUUCACAAGUCCAUUGUCACUACAAUGGACGACAAGCUUCAAACACAUGAUCUCUUCGUGAUGCUCCACUUGACCUUGCACACCACAAUCUUGAUGACGAUCACCACUUUGAUGUCAUCCUCUCCAUGGGUUGCAUGAUAUCUUCCUCUUGACGCAAGCCCAUGGAAACAUACCUAAACCCUCAUAGAACUCUCACGUAGACCAUGGGUUAAUACACAAACGUAAUGGACAAUGCUUACCAUACCAUGGGAUCACUUGAUCCCUCUCGGUACAUCUUCUACGCUUUGUGUGCUGAUCAACUUGAAUCACUCUAUGUACUUAGUCUUGAUCAACCUUGAAUCUUUCCAACUCUCUUCAUUUGCAUGAUAUAUUCAACGUAAACAUGAAUGAUCACACAAUCUUUUUCUUCAAGACAUGCUUGAAAUAAGCUCAACACUCACAUGACCAAUCUUUGGAUAAUUCCUUAAUAGCACAUUGGUCAACUCAUAAACUCCUUGAAACCAACACAUGGACUUCAAGAAAUGCCUAUGGACAAAUACUUCAAAUAUUACUCAAUGCAACCAUUAGCCCAUAGACACUAGUAUAAAAAGCCCCAUUCGUCCCGGUUCAUGAGGCCCAUUUGUCCCGGUUGCCGAACCGGAACGAAAGCGUCGGUUCUAAAGCCCAAUACCUUUCGUCCCGGUUGGCCCAGGAACAGGAGCAGAUGAGACUCCACGUGGCCGCUGCGGCUUGUCCAGGCAGGAGGGCCUUUUGUCCCGGUUGUUGCCACCAACCGGGACCAAAAGGCUUCCACGCGUCAGCAGUUCAGUGGCUGGGGUUUUUGUUUUUUCUCUGAAAGGGGAGGGGGGCGUUGGGGGUUUUGUAGGGUUAAUUUAGGGGUUUCAUAUAUUGUGUUAGCUAGCUAAUAGAGAGAAGUGCCCUCUCUUAUCUCCGUGCUUGGUCGACGCUACGUACUAUACGUAUAGAGAGGACUCGACACGCUAGCUAGCUAGUAAGCAAAUGAAGGAAACCAUUAAGUACAAAAGAUCAUCAUGAACAUAUACACAGAGAGAAGUGAUCGACCUCUCCUUCUCCGAUAGAUUGGUCAAACAACAAGUUUUCGUAUAUCUAUCCGACGCUACUGGCUGCAUAUAUAUAUACAAUAUAAGAUCUCUUACAAAAUCCCCUAACAUCUGAACUCAACUUCCACAUGGUAUUCUUCAUGUUUGUCGAUGACGGGGUCAAGAAAGAAUCCCACCAAUUCCUCUUGAAUUGCUCGUAUGCGAUCUUGUGGUAGGAGUUCAUCCCGCAUCUGAAACAUCUAAUUUGAAGAAGGGUAUCAAUACAUAUAUAUGAAUAAAACUCAACACAAAUGAUGGUAAUAUAAUAAAAUUGUGAAUAUUAUUGCUUACGCACUUCAUAUUGUUGUUUAGAGUUGCCCCGCUCACAGGUCGUGUGGCGGAUGAACUCGCAAAUGUAGUAUCCACAGAAAUCAUUCCCGGGUUCCUGCCAUAACCACUUUACAAGAAAUAGAGGUCAAUAAAACUGAUAAGCAAUCAUGCUAAAUGGUAUUGAUGAAAGUAGCUAGAACCAAUGGGAGAUGUGCGGAACUAGCUAGUAGCUAGUACUUACUUUCGGGUGGUUAAAUCGCAGCUGUGCUGGCAGUCCCGGAGCUCACUGCUAGGAAAAGGGCUAUAGAUAGGACUGAUUCUAAUGGCGCAACAGGUAAGUAGUGCGCCACUACUAUAUACUAAUGGCGCACUGGUUGCUCGUGCGCCAUUAGUGUGGAAGACACUAAUGGCGCAUCGUGAUCACGGUGCGCCACUACUAUUGAUUUUUUCCCCAUUUUUCCAUACAAACUAAUGGCGCAGGAGUGGCAAAGUGCACCAUUACUAGUUAGAACUUGUAAUGGCGCACGACCAAGACAGUGCGCCAUUAGUAUAUAAUUUUUUUUUACUUUUUUGCAAACCUACUAAUGGCGCACUAUGCCAAAGCCCAGUCGUGUUUAUACCCGAAGCCAAAUCCAAGACCGCGGGCGCAAACGUCACCGUGAAAAAUGAGCCAUGGGUACUGGCUUCCCAAGUGGACCAAUGCUUCUUCAUUACCGGCCAGCCAAAGCCCAGUCGUGUUGUCGUGAGGAGAGGCAAAAGGAAGAUCAUCGGAAUGGAUGGAGUAGCCAAUGAGCAAGACUUCGACAAGUACGGCGACCCAAAGAUCGAACAUGACGACGAUGAUGAAGUAGCAGCACACACCACAAGAAGAAGCAGGACCACCCUACCUAAGGACGUCCGUUCCACAGAAGAACUCCAUUUGCGAAAAAGAAGGGCAAGAAGAUUGUGAACAGAUAGCUAGCUAAGAUCGAUUGUAUUUAAAUCGUAGUCUUCAUUUCUCGAUUGUAUUUCAUGGGCACUUUUUGAUAUCAUGAAUAUUUUUAAAUUUCAUGGGAACUUUUUGAAAUCAUGAGGACACUUGAUCUCGAUCCCCCUCCAUCUCGAUCUCGAUUCCCCCUCCAUCUCGAUCUCGAUCCCUGCACCCUCCCCCGCUCCACCGCCGCCGCCGAUGAUAUUUUCAAGUAAGAAAUUUGAACAUAUUUUUUAAAAAAUUAUUACUGUUUUUAUAAAAAAAUAUUACUGUUAUGAUUUAAACAAGUUUGAACAUAUUUAAACACAAAUAAAUAUAAAAAACAGCAUUUAAAAUGCAUAAAAAAAUAUUGGGGAGCCUGGGAAUCAAACCCAAGACCUCCUGGUGUGUGUGCUGCGUGCUGACCAGUCGGGCUAGUGGAUGGGUUCUGUUGUAGAUAGGGUUAGGUUGUAGAUAUGGUUAGUGGGCUAGAUUAAAACAAAAUUCUAAUGGCGCACCGAGGGGUGGUGCGCCAUUAGAAUAGUCAUACUUAUGGCGCACGACUGGACGGUGCGCCAUUAGAACCCUCCCCCUAGCUAUCCUCACUCCCUCUCGCCAGAUCCCCUUCGACCCUCUCUCCGGCCCUCGCCACCAGAUCCACCCGCGCGCUGCCCCGACCCACGCCGCCAACGCCCCCGCGCCUCCGUCUCCGUCGCCGCCCCCAGUCAGCCCCUGCCCUGCCCCCCAUCGCCGUCCGCUCCCAAUCCACCCCCUCCCUCGCCUUCAUCGNNNNNNNNNNNNNNNNNNNNNNNNNNNNNNNNNNNNNNNNNNNNNNNNNNNNNNNNNNNNNNNNNNNNNNNNNNNNNNNNNNNNNNNNNNNNNNNNNNNNNNNNNNNNNNNNNNNNNNNNNNNNNNNNNNNNNNNNNNNNNNNNNNNNNNNNNNNNNNNNNNNNNNNNNNNNNNNNNNNNNNNNNNNNNNNNNNNNNNNNNNNNNNNNNNNNNNNNNNNNNNNNNNNNNNNNNNNNNNNNNNNNNNNNNNNNNNNNNNNNNNNNNNNNNNNNNNNNNNNNNNNNNNNNNNNNNNNNNNNNNNNNNNNNNNNNNNNNNNNNNNNNNNNNNNNNNNNNNNNNNNNNNNNNNNNNNNNNNNNNNNNNNNNNNNNNNNNNNNNNNNNNNNNNNNNNNNNNNNNNNNNNNNNNNNNNNNNNNNNNNNNNNNNNNNNNNNNNNNNNNNNNNNNNNNNNNNNNNNNNNNNNNGGCCACCUCUGUUGCUACUAAGCUAUCGCAGGGCCUCCUUGCGCCUCCCCGGUGAGCUCCGCCUCCUCUCCCCUCUUACUUCUCACGUGCCAAGAAAUGCAUAGCAAUUAUUUGCUUCACUUAGUCAUUGAUGGUCAUUCAGUAUGAAGUUACAACCUGCAGGUAUUGGUUGGAAUGUGUAACUACAAUAUACAGGGGAAAUGUUUGCAGUUAAGUUAUGUGGUUGGAAAGAUCAUGUGUCAUUAGAAACUUGGAAGCUAAAAACAUUGCGAUCCUCACCGUAAGGAUGAUUAUAUCUUCCAUGCCUGAAUAGCUCUGCCUAAAUAAUAAAUAGGUAAAGGUAAAACUAAACCAUGCUCAGCGAUGAGUCAUGUCAACUGACAACCAAAGCAAACUUGUUCAUCAUUACAAAAGCAAACUUGUUCAACAUAACAAAAGCAAACUUGUUCAACAUAACAAAAGCAAACUUGUUCAACCACAUAACUACAAACUGAGACACAAUAGUAGGGGUCAUCCCAAUACCACAAACAACUCAAUAUCCCCAGUAGUAGGGGUCAUCCCAAUGAUCCUCCACCUCUUGCCAGAGCUCCAAACCUUCUUUGGUGAUUUCGAUUUUCUUCCAUGCCUCGUAGGUGACGUACGCAUCUUUCGCGGCGUACUCGAUGAGCUUGUUUGGCAGUGGGCUGUCCCCCCAUAGUAGGUGGUCCGAUUUCCUGUCGAUCUUCUGCUUCAUUUCCUUGUAGGAUGGGUGGAUGAGGCUGCCUGCAAACUCAGCCAAAGACUGCCACUUCUUUCCAUUGUUUGGAACUCUCCAUUUGCACUGCAAGUCGACGUACUUGUCGGGGUUGAUCUCUAAACCAGACAACUUCAGCUUCUCCUUGUCGCCUCCAAUGGAGAAGCCAACAAAGGUGUACAGCUUCUUCUCCUGCAGGAGCGGGCGGAGUUCCUUGGGCCUGCAUCAAAUUAAUCUGGUGCAUCAAAUUCAUCUACUUCAAAAACUUCAGAAACUACAGAAUUAAAAUGGGUUCAGUUGAAGCAAAAUUUAGUUAAAAUAGCAUCUUCAGUUCUGACCAAAAUUCAGUUAAAACAGUAUGAUCACAACAACUACUAAAUGAUCACAACAACUACAAGACAACAUUCUGUAUGAUCAAAACAGCAAGCAUAACAUCUCAAUGAUGUAUUUUUUUGCAAUCUUUUGCAUUACAAGACAACAUUCAUAACAGCUACUAAAUGAUCACAAAAACUUCUAGACAACAUUCUGUAUGAUCACCAAAAAACUACUAAUUAGACAGAAACUUCAUAACUUCAGAACUAGUAUUGCAUCUACUUCAGAACUUCAAAACUAUUGCAUCUACUUCAGAAACUUCAGAAACUUCAGAAACUACUAAUUAAAACGAAGCUUCAGAACUUCAGAAACUUCAGAACUUCAGAACUAGUAUUGCAUCUACUUCAGAACUUCAUAACUAUUGCAUCUACUUCAGAAACUACUAAUUAGACAGAAACUUCAGAACUGGAUGUUUUUACCAUUUGGUUGCCGCGGUGAUGUGGUAUACCAGGACGAGAUCCUCCACGCAUAACUACAGAACUGCAGCAAUUUGCGGAGGUUUGUCUUCCCUGGUAUACUCGACAUCAACGCCGAUAUUCCGAGUAAGCAUGCCGCCGAGCCUCCUCCUCAUCUUGCGGAUCAUCUUGUCGGCUUCGUCUGGAUUGCUGGUGCAUACGACAUCCAGCGGCUCCUUCAGGUGGAUAUCAACCUUGAGCGGCACGGUGUAGUCCCGCUUCUGCCCGGGGACCGGAACGUCGUCGUCGACCACCAGCGGCUCCUUGCCAGACGCCUCACCAUGGUGAUGCUUGGCAGACGGAGGGGAGUUGCUCCACGAUGCCUCCGCCAUUCUCUUGGCAGACGGAGGGGAGUUGCUCCACGAUUCCUCCGCCAUUGCCCUCCUGGCCAGCGAUGGUGGAGGCAGAGGGGAGUUGCUUGAUGCUGGAGGCAGAGGGAGGUAGAGGGAGGAAGAUGGAGCGGCAAUGGAAUGAUGAGGGAGGCAGAGGGAGGAAGAUGGAGCGACAAUGGAAUAGGAGGGGAGUUACCUGGACGUGGGAAGAAAACCCCCUCUGCAUCGUGGGGAGUUGCCAGUGGAGGGGAGACGUGGGGAGUUGCCUCGAAAACUCAAACGUCCUGCCCUUUCGAGGGGAGACAUGGGCCCUCGAAAACUCUGGAGGGGAGACGUGGGCCCUCCUGUUUCUGAAACGUCCAGGAGGGGAGACGUGGGCCCUCCUGUUUCUGAAAACUACACCUAUAUCUGACGAAACUGAAGGUGUUCUUCAGCAGCUGAUUAAAAUUCAGUUAAAAUUCAGUUAACAUGUUUUACUUUAAACUUGCAUGCAUUCUUUGCUUGUUUAUAUAUAUUCAUACUGAUGCAGUUACUUGCAUGAGCCUGGCUGAUGAAGAAAAACUUUAUAUAUAUAUUCAUACUGAUGUUGACUCUAUAAAUCAUACUUAUUGGACAUGUUUUAUGUGUUGAUCCAUCAAUUGAUCACAUUGAGAAAGACCAUCGUGUCUCCGACCAUUUUGCAAAGGUCAUGUCUCCGACCAUCGUGUCGUGAUGAAUUUGCAGGUACCCCGAGAGGCCCUUGAGUUUGUCGGAAUGUUGAUUAACUUCCGUUCCGGCAAAUUCGGGUACUCCAUAUGUCCUAUUUUCAGCAAAGGUCAUGCUGAAAUUUUCCUUGCUGCAUUAAACCAUAGGUGGAAAUAGAGCCAAGUGAUUAGGCCCAACUUAGAAUUCUCCUUAGCAUCGAUAAACCCUAGAUGAUAAACCCAACAUAGGUGGCAAUAGAGCCAAGUGAUUAGGCCCAACCUAGGGUGCCUCGGCAUCGAUAAACCCUAAAUGAUGAAAACUUAACUUGGCUGCCCCGGAUGCCUCGGUGUCGAUGAGAACCUAAAUGAUGUACGCUUAGGCUUUUAGGGUGCCUCGGCGUUGACAAACCCUAAAUGAUGAAAGCUUAGGCUUUUAGGGUGCCUCGGUGUCGACAAACCCUAAAUGAUGAGACCAUGAUCUUGUUCCUUGACAAUAACCAACUUUUUGACCAAACUUUUUUCCUAUUUAGAGCGAAACAUGGCCCACAACGAUGAGGCCGGUGGUUCGGGCGGCAAGCAAUUUUGGGAGCUAUCCCAGGAGAUGGAGGAACAACCUCACCGCUAUGAGAACGCCGCGGAAGACACCGAUCCUGAUUACACAACCCCUAGUGGCGUCGGGGAUGACACCACUGAUGGUGCCGCCGAGGAUGCUGAAGGAAAUAUGCCCUAGAGGCAAUAAUAAAGUUAUUAUUUAUUUCCUCAUAUCAUGAUAAAUGUUUAUUAUUCAUGCUAGAAUUGUAUUAACCGGAAACAUGAUACAUGUGUGAAUACAUAGACAAACAUAGUUUCACUAGUAUGCCUCUACUUGAACUAGCUCAUUGAUCAAAGAUGGUUAUGUUUCCUAACCAUAGGCAUGUGUUGUCAUUUGAUUAAUGGGAUCACAUCAUUAGGAGAAUGAUGUGAUUGACUUGACCCAUUCCGUUAGCUUAGCACUUGAUCGUUUAGUAUGUUGCUAUUGCUUUCUUCAUGACUUAUACAAAGUUCCUGCAACUAUGAGAUUGUGCAACUCCCGUUUACCGGAGGAACACUUUGUGUGCUACCAAACGUCACAACAUAAUUGGGUGAUUAUAAAGGUGCUCUACAGGUGUCUCCAAAGGUACAUGUUGAGUUGGCAUAAUUCGAGAUUAGGUUUUGUCACUCCGAUUGUCGGAGAGGUAUCUUUGGGCCCUCUCAGUAAUACUCAUCACCUAAGCCUUGCAAGCAUUGUAACUAAUGAGUUAGUUAUGAAAUGAUGUAUUACGAAACGAGUAAAGAGACUUACCGGUAACGAGAUUGAACUAGGUAUUGGAUACCGACGAUCGAAUCUCGGGCAAGUAACAUACCGAUGACAAAGGGAACAACGUAUGUUGUUAUGCGGUUUGACCGAUAAAGAUCUUCGUAGAAUAUGUAGGAACCAAUAUGAACAUCCAGGUUCCGCUAUUGGUUAUUGACCGAGAAUAGUUCUAGGUCAUGUCUACAUAGUUCUCGAACCCGUAGGGUCUGCACGCUUAAUGCUACGAUGACAUUUUUAUUAUGAGUUUAUAAGUUUUGGUGUACCGAAGGUUGUUUAGAGUACCGGAUGUGAUCACGAACAUGACGAGGAGUCUCGAAAUGGUCGAUACAUAAAGAUUGAUAUAUUGGACGGAUAUAUUUGGACACCGGAAAGGUUCCGGAUGAGAUUGGGACUAUACCGGAGUUCCGGGAGGUUACCGGAACCCCCCGGUAAGUAUAUGGGCCUUAUUGGGCCUUAGUGGAAGGGAGGGAGAAGGAGCAAAGGAGGGAGCGCCCCCCCCCCAAGNNNNNNNNNNNNNNNNNNNNNNNNNNNNNNNNNNNNNNNNNNNNNNNNNNNNNNNNNNNNNNNNNNNNNNNNNNNNNNNNNNNNNNNNNNNNNNNNNNNNNNNNNNNNNNNNNNNNNNNNNNNNNNNNNNNNNNNNNNNNNNNNNNNNNNNNNNNNNNNNNNNNNNNNNNNNNNNNNNNNNNNUCCUAAUAGGAAAGGGGGGCCAAACCUACUUGGAGUAGGUUUGCCCCCCCUAGGGCGCGCCUCCCCUCUUGGCCGGCCCCCUCCUCCUCUCCCCCUUUAUAUACGGAGGAGGGGGCACCCCAUAGACACACAAGUUGAUCUACAGAUCGUUCCUUAGCUGUGUGCGGUGCCCCCCUCCACCAUAUUCCACCUCGGUCAUAUCAUCGCGGAGUUUAGGCGAAGCCCUGCGCCGGUAGAACAUCAUCAUCGUCACCACGUCGUCGUGCUGACGGAACUCAUCCCCGACGCUUUGCUGGAUUGGAGCCCGGGGAACGUCAUCGAGCUGAACGUGUGCUGAACACGGAGGUGCCGUACGUUCGGUGCUUGGAUCGGUCGAAUCAUGAAGACGUACGACUACAUCAACCGCGUUGUCAUAACGCUUCCGCUUACGGUCUACGAGGGUACGUGGACAACACUCUCCCCUCUCGUUGCUAUGCCAUCACCAUGAUCUUGCGCGUGCGUAGGAAAUUUUUUGAAAUUACUACGUUCCCCAACAGUGGCAUCCGAGCCUAGGUUUUAUGCGUUGAUGUUAUAUGCACGAGUAGAACACGAGUGAGUUGUGGGCGAUACAAGUAAUACUGCUUACCAGCAUGUCAUACUUUGGUUCGGCGGUAUUGUUGGAUGAAGUGGCCCGGACCGACAUUACGCAUACGCUUACGCGAGACUGGUUUUACCGCCGUGCUUUGCACACAGGUGACUAGCGGGUGUCAGUUUCUCCAACUUUAGUUGAACCGAGUGUGGCUAUGACCGGUCCUUGCGAAGGUUAAAACAACACCAACUUGACAAACUAUCGUUGUGGUUUUGAUGCGUAGGUAAGAACGGUUCUUGCUCAGCCCGUAGCAGCCACGUAAAACUUGCAACAACAAAGUAGAGGACGUCUAACUUGUUUUUGCAGGGCAUGUUGUGACGUGAUAUGGCCAAGACGUGAUGCUAUAUUUUAUUGUAUGAAGUGAUCAUGUUUUGUAACCGAAGUUAUCGGCAACUGGCAGGAGCCAUAUGGUUGUCGCUUUAUUGUAUGAAAUGCAAACGCCCUGUAAUUGCUUUACUUUAUGACUAACCGGUAGCGAUAGUCGUAGAAGCAAUAGAUGGCGUAAACGACAACGAUGCUACGAUGGAGAUCAAGGUGUCGCACCGGUGACGAUGGUGAUCACGAUGGUGCUUUGGAGAUGGAGAUCACAAGCACAAGAUGAUGAUGGCCAUAUCAUAUCACUUAUAUUGAUUGCAUGUGAUGUUUAUCCUUUAUGCAUCUUAUCUUGCUUUGAUUGACGGUAGCAUUUUAUGAUGAUCACUCACUAAAAAUUAUCAAGAAGUGUUCUCCCUGAGUAUGCACCGUUGCCAAAGUUCAUCGUGCCCAGACACCACAUGAUGAUCGGGUGUGAUAAGCUCUACGUCCAUCUACAAUGGGUGCAAGCCAGUUUUGCACACGCAGAAUACUCAGGUUAAACUUGACGAGCCUAGCAUAUGCAGAUAUGGCCUCGGAACACGGAGACCGAAAGGUCGAGCGUGAAUCAUAUAGUAGAUAUGAUCAACAUAGAGAUGUUCACCAUUGAAAACUACUCCAUCUCACGUGAUGAUCGGUUAUGGUUUAGUUGAUUUGGAUCACGUGAUCACUUAGAUGACUAGAAAGAUGUCUGUCUAAGUGGGAGUUCUUAAAUAAUAUGAUUAAUUGAACUUAAAUUUAUCAUGAACUUAGUACCUGAUAGUAUUUUGCUUGUCUAUGUUUGUUGUAGAUAGAUGGCUCGUAAUGUUGUUCCGUUGAAUUUUAAUGUGUUCCUUGAGAAAGCAAAGUUGAAAGAUGAUGGUAGCAAUUACACGGACUGGGUCCGUAACUUGAGGAUUAUCCUCAUUGCUGCACAGAAGAAUUACGUCCUGGAAGCACCGCUGGGUGCCAGGCCUGCUGCAGGAGCAACACCAGAUGUUGUGAACGUCUGGCAGAGCAAAGCUGAUGACUACUCUAUAGUUCAGUGUGCCAUGCUUUACGGCUUAGAACCGGGUCUUCAACGACGUUUUGAACGUCAUGGAGCAUAUGAGAUGUUCCAGGAGUUGAAGUUAAUAUUUCAAGCAAAUGCCCGGAUUGAGAGAUAUGAAAUCUCCAAUAAGUUCUACAGCUGCAAGAUGGAGGAGAAUAGUUCUGUCAGUGAGCAUAUACUCAAAAUGUCUGGGUAUAAUAAUCACUUGAUUCAACUGGGAGUUAAUCUUUCGGAUGAUAGCGUCAUUGACAGAAUUCUCCAAUCACUGCCACCAAGCUACAAAAGCUUUGUGAUGAACUAUAAUAUGCAAGGGAUGAACAAGACAAUUCCCGAGCUCUUCGCAAUGCUAAAGGCUGCGGAGGUAGAAAUCAAGAAGGAGCAUCAAGUGUUGAUGGUCAACAAGACCACUAGUUUUAAGAAAAAGGGCAAAGGGAAGAAUAAGGGGAACUUCAAGAAGAACAGCAAGCAAGUUGCUGCUCAAGAGAAGAAACCCAAGUCUGGACCUAAGCCUGAAACUGAGUGCUUCUACUGCAAGCAGACUGGUCACUGGAAGCGGAACUGCCCCAAGUAUUUGGCGGAUAAGAAGGAUGGCAAAGUGAACAAAGGUAUAUGUGAUAUACAUGUUAUUGAUGUGUACCUAACUAGAGCUCGUAGUAGCACCUGGGUAUUUGAUACUGGUUCUGUUGCUAAUAUUUGCAACUCGAAACAGGGACUACGGAAUAAGCGAGCACUGGCCAAGGACGAGGUGACGAUGCGCGUGGGAAACGGUUCCAAAGUCGAUGUGAUCGCAGUCGGCACGCUACCUCCACAUCUACCUUCGGGAUUAGUUUUAGACCUGAAUAAUUGUUAUUUGGUGCCAGCGUUGAGCAUGAACAUUAUAUCUGGAUCUUGUUUGAUGCGAGAUGGUUAUUCAUUUAAAUCAGAGAAUAAUGGUUGUUCUAUUUAUAUGAGUAAUAUCUUUUAUGGUCAUGCACCCUUGAAGAGUGGUCUAUUUUUAUUGAAUCUCGAUAUUAGUGAUACACAUAUUCAUAAUGUUGAAGCCAAAAGAUGCAGAGUUGAUAAUGAUAGUGCAACUUAUUUGUGGCACUGCCGUUUAGGUCAUAUCGGUGUAAAGCGCAUGAAGAAACUCCAUACUGAUGGACUUUUGGAAUCACUUGAUUAUGAAUCACUUGGUACUUGCGAACCGUGCCUCAUGGGCGAGAUGACUAAAACACCGUUCUCCGGUACUAUGGAGAGAGCAACAGAUUUGUUGGAAAUCAUACAUACAGAUGUAUGUGGUCCGAUGAAUGUUGAAGCUCGUGGCGGAUAUCGUUAUUUUCUCACCUUCACAAAUGAUUUGAGCAGAUAUGGGUAUAUCUACUUAAUGAAGCACAAGUCUGAAACAUUUGAAAAGUUCAAAGAAUUUUAGAGUGAAGUGGAAAAUCAUCGUAACAAGAAAAUAAAGUUUCUACGAUCUGAUCGUGGAGGAGAAUAUUUGAGUUAUGAGUUUGGUUUACAUUUGAAACAAUGUGGAAUAGUUUCGCAACUCAUGUCACCUGGAACACCACAAAGAAAUGGUGUGUCCGAACGUCGUAAUCGUACUUUACUAGAUAUGGUGCGAUCUAUGAUGUCUCUUACUGAUUUACCGCUAUCGUUUUGGGGUUAUGCUUUAGAGAUGGCUGCAUUCACAUUAAAUAGGGCACCAUCUAAAUCCGUUGAGACGAUGCCUUAUGAACUGUGGUUUGGCAAGAAACCAAAGUUGUCGUUUCUUAAAGUUUGGGGCUGCGAUGCUUAUGUGAAGAAACUUCAACCAGAUAAGCUCGAACCCAGAUCAGAGAAAUGUGUCUUCAUAGGAUACCCAAAAGAGACUGUUGGGUACACCUUCUAUCACAGAUCCGAAGGCAAGACAUUCGUUGCUAAGAAUGGAUCCUUUCUAGAGAAGGAGUUUCUCUCGAAAGAAGUGAGUGGGAAGAAAGUAGAACUUGAUGAGGUAACGGUACCUGCUCCCUUAUUGGAAAGUAGUUCAUCACAUAAAUCAGUUCCUGUGACAAAUACACCAAUUAGUGAGGAAGCUAAUGAUAUUGAUCAUGAAACUUCAGAUCAAGUGUCUACUAAACCUCGUAGGUCUACCAGAGUAAGAUCCGCACCAGAGUGGUACGGUAAUCCUGUUCUGGAAGUCAUGUUACUUGACCAUGAUGAACCUACGAACUAUGAGGAAGCGAUGAUGAGCCCAGAUUCCGCAAAAUGGCUAGAGGCCAUGAAAUCUGAGAUGGGAUCCAUGUAUGAGAACAAAGUAUGGACUUUGGUUGACUUGCCCGAUGAUCGGCAAGCCAUUGAGAAUAAAUGGAUUUUUAAGAAGAAGACUGACGCUGACGGUAAUGUAACUGUAUAUAAAGCUCGACUUGUUGCGAAAGGUUUUCGAUAAGUUCAAGGGGUUGACUACGAUGAGACUUUCUCACCCGUAGCGAUGCUUAAGUCUGUCCGAAUCAUGUUAGCGAUUGCCGCAUUUUAUGAUUAUGAAAUUUGGCAGAUGGAUGUAAAAACUGCAUUCCUUAAUGGAUUUCUGGAAGAAGAGUUGUAUAUGAUGCAACCGGAGGGUUUUGUAGAUCCUAAGGGAGCUAACAAAGUGUGCAAGCUCCAGCGAUCAAUCUAUGGUCUGGUGCAAGCCUCUCGGAGUUGGAAUAAACGCUUUGAUAGUGUGAUCAAAGCAUAUGGUUUUAUACAGACUUUUGGAGAAGCAUGUAUUUACAAGAAAGUGAGUGGGAGCUCUGUAGCAUUUCUAAUAUUAUAUGUGGAUGACAUAUUGUUGGUUGGAAAUGAUAUAGAAUUUCUGGAUAGCAUAAAAGGAUACUUGAAUAAAAGUUUUUCAAUGAAAGACCUCGGUGAAGCUGCUUACAUAUUGGGCAUUAAGAUCUAUAGAGAUAGAUCAAGACGCUUGAUUGGACUUUCACAAAGCACGUACCUUGAUAAAGUAUUGAAAAGGUUCAAUAUGGAACAGGCGAAGAAAGGGUUCUUGCCUGUAUUACAAGGUAUAAAGUUGAGUCAGACUCAAUGCCCGACCACUGCAGAAGAUAGAGAGAAAAUGAAAGGAGUUCCCUAUGCUUCAGCCAUAGGCUCUAUCAUGUAUGUAAUGCUGUGUACCAGACCUGAUGUGUGCCUUGCUAUUAGUUUGGCAGGGAGGUACCAAAGUAAUCCAGGAGUGCGUCACUGGACAGCGGUCAAGAACAUCCUGAAAUACCUGAAAAGGACUAAGGAUAUGUUUCUCAUAUAUGGAGGUGACAAAGAGCUAGUCGUAAAUGGUUACGUCGAUGCAAGCUUUGACACUGAUUCGGACGAUUCUAAAUCGCAAACCGGAUACGUAUUUUUAUUAAACGGUGGAGUUGUAAGUUGGUGCAGUUCUAAACAAAGCGUCGUGGCGGAAUCUACAUAUGAAGCGGAGUACAUAGCUGCUUCGGAAGCAGCAAAUGAAGGAGUCUGAAUGAAGGAGUUCAUUUCCGAUCUAGGUGUUGUACCUAGUGCAUCGGGACCAAUGAAGAUCUUCUGUGACAAUACUGGUGCAAUUGCCUUGGCAAAGGAAUCCAGAUUUCACAAGAGGACCAAGCACAUCAAGAGACGCUUCAAUUCCAUUUGGGACUAAGUCCAAGUGGGAGACAUAGAGAUUUGCAAGAUACAUACGGAUCUGAAUGUUGCAGACCCGUUGACUAAGCCUCUCUCACGAGCAAAACAUGAUCAGCACCAAGACUCCAUGGGUGUUAGAAUCAUUACUAUGUAAUCUAGAUUAUUGACUCUAGUGCAAGUGGGAGACUGAAGGAAAUAUGCCCUAGAGGCAAUAAUAAAGUUAUUAUUUAUUUCCUCAUAUAAUGAUAAAUGUUUAUUAUUCAUGCUAGAAUUGUAUUAACCGGAAACAUGAUACAUGUGUGAAUACAUAGACAAACAUAGUGUCACUAGUAUGCCUCUGCUUGAACUAGCUCAUUGAUCAAAGAUGGUUAUGUUUCCUAACCAUAGGCAUGUGUUGUCAUUUGAUUAAUGGGAUCACAUCAUUAGGAGAAUGAUGUGAUUGACUUGACCCAUUCCGUUAGCUUAGCUCUUGAUCGUUUAGUAUGUUGCUAUUGCUUUCUUCAUGACUUAUACAAAGUUCCUGCAACUAUGAGAUUGUGCAACUCCCGUUUACCGUAGGAACACUUUGUGUUCUACCAAACGUCACAACGUAAUUGGGUGAUUAUAAAGGUGCUCUAUAGGUGUCUCCAAAGGUACAUGUUGAGUUGGCAUAAUUCGAGAUUAGGUUUUGUCACUCCAAUUGUCGGAGAGGUAUCUUUGGGCCCUCUCAGUAAUACUCAUCACCUAAGCCUUGCAAGCAUUGUAACUAAUGAGUUAGUUAUGAAAUGAUGUAUUACGAAACGAGUAAAGAGACUUACCGGUAACGAGAUUGAACUAGGUAUUGGAUAUCAACGAUCGAAUCUCGGGCAAGUAACAUACCGAUGACAAAGGGAACAAUGUAGGUUGUUAUGUGGUUUGACCGAUAAAGAUCUUCGUAGAAUAUGUAGGAACCAAUAUGAACAUCCAGGUUCCGCUAUUGGUUAUUGACCGAGAAUAGUUCUAGGUCAUGUCUACAUAGUUCUCGAACCCGUAGGGUCCGCACGCUUAACGUUACGAUGACAGUUUUAUUACGAGUUUAUAAGUUUUGAUGUACCGAAGGUUGUUCGGAGUAUCGGAUGUGAUCACAGACAUGACGAGGAGUCUCGAAAUGGUCGAGACAUAAAGAUUGAUAUAUUGGACGGAUAUAUUUGGACACCGAAAAGGUUCCGGAUGAGAUUGGGACUAUACCGGAGUUCCGGGAGGUUACCGGAACCCCCCGGUAAGUAUAUGGGCCUUAUUGGGCCUUAGUGGAAGGGAGGGAGAAGGAGCAAAGGAGGGGGCGCCCCCCCCCCCAAGCCCAAUCCGAAUUGGGAGGGGGGCCGGCCCCCCCUUUCCUUCUUCCCUCCCCUCUCUUCCUUCCCUCUCCUACUCCUAAUAGGAAAGGGGGGCCAAACCUACUUGGAGUAGGUUUGCCCCCCCCUAGGGCGCGCCUCCCCUCUUGGCCGGCCCCCUCCUCCUCUCCCCCUUUAUAUACGGAGGAGGGGGGCACCCCAUAGACACACAAGUUGAUCUACGGAUCGUUCCUUAGCCGUGUGCGGUGCCCCCCUCCACCAUAUUCCACCUCGGUCAUAUCGUCGCGGAGUUUAGGCGAAGCCCUGCGCCGGUAGAACAUCAUCAUCGUCACCACGCCGUCGUGCUGACGGAACUCAUCCCCGACGCUUUGCUGGAUUGGAGCCCGGGGAACGUUAUCGAGCUGAACGUGUGCUGAACACGGAGGUGCCGUACGUUCGGUGCUUGGAUCGGUCGAAUCGUGAAGACGUACGACUACAUCAACCGCGUUGUCAUAACGCUUCCGCUUACGGUCUACGAGGGUACGUGGACAACACUCUCCCCUCUCGUUGCUAUGCCAUCACCAUGAUCUUGCGUGUGCGUAGGAAAUUUUUUGAAAUUACUACGUUCCCCAACAGAUGCCACCACUGAUGAUGGCGGCACACACACAGAUGGCAGCCAAUCGAAGAAGCAAAGGAAGGACCGGCGUCCGAAUGCGCUCCGCACCGUCAAGGAGGAAUUCACUCAAGUACAAGGGUAAGGUUCGCGGAGUCUACGACGACUGGGAGGAGUGUCGGAGACAGGUUCACCGUUUCAGCGGUAACAGUUACAAAGGAUACACCACUAGGGCGGAGGCCGAAUCUAGAUAUGCCUGCUAUCUAGCGGGGGAGAGGAGGGAGCGUUGGAGGAACCGGAUGAGGACCAGUUUGAUCGCGAUGAUGCUCAUCGUGAUGACUACAACUCUUUUUUAUGUGAUGGUAGUUUAGAUGAUCGAUAUCGACUUGUAAUGUGAAGACAAACUCGAUACUCGCGGUCUUGAGACUUGUAAUGUUUUAUCUUUGUUCGGUCUUUUGAAUUCGGAGACUAAUAUGAUGAAUUGUAUUCGGAGACUAAUCUUCUAUUGUAUUCGAUGAAUCUGAUGUUGCUAUGUGCUACUGUCUAUAUUCUGUCCAAUAAUAUAUUUUGUAACCUGUGCAAAAAUCAGAAAAGCAAAAAAAAAAGAAAACCAAAUAUUCAAAAAAAACAAAUAUUCAUACUAAUGGCGCAUCAAGGUAGAGUGCGCCAUUAGUGUGCCAAAGGAUACUAAUGGCGCAUCAAGGCAGAGUGCGCCAUUAGUGUGACAAAGCACAUGGUUACAUAUGGCCCCCCGGGAGGCAUACUAAUGGCGCAUGGAGUUACACACUAAUGGCGCACUGCCAGGUGCACCAUUAGUAUACCAGAUACUAAUGGCGCACCAGUGGUGCGCCAUUAGUAAAAAAUUCUAAUGGCGUGCUACUAAUGGCGCACCGGUAGUGCGCCAUUAGUAGGCAAAACCGGUGCGCCAUUAGUAGGCCUUUUCCUAAUAGUGGCUUGUGUGGUGAACUUUUUCCAAACCCUGCCAGACAAAGAAAAUAAUUGCUUGAUAUCAGAGAAUGUCAUCUAUUACCAAAACCACACAUGGGGGCACCACAUGUUCUUUCAACGCGGGAUCAAGACCGUGUGGCGCACACGUGCAUGCAUUGUGUGGGCACUGGUAGCAUAGCAGCGUGGCGAUUUUGAAAAAAGUUCACCACUGGGUAAAUAAUCAUUGCAUGGGUAAGAUUCUUGAUCAGUAAAGUUCAGCAAGAUUUAAUUAAAAAGCUGAGAAAUUACUAUUAAAAGUUCAAUCUAAAUAUGUAUAUAUUCCUAUUGAAAUUGGUGAUUCGGUUUAGCAUCAUAUAGAAAUAUAGUGUGUAUGGAUUAUUUUGAAAUUGUUCACUCUUUUGUUUUGAUACUUUAUUUAACUUUGCCCACAUUAACUUUUCUCUAUCCUCCACCGCCGAUAAGUACCACAUGCUCCCUCACGGAUGCAAUAAAUCAUAUGUAGCCGUUAUUUAUUAGAACAUUAUUAUAGUGCCAGAGGGACAAAAGAAAGUCUAAAGAGCCUACAUGUGGACCUAGCCAAACCGUGUAUAAGAGGUAGAUGUAGUAGCAUAGAGCAAACAUGACAAUGCAACCUACAGUUGUGGCAAAGUUGAUGAGAGGAAGGAAUGGAGAGACAAAGCCGGUUGAUCACCAUGUUUCUGAUCUGGUCUUUGGAUGGGAGCCCAAUAGCAUCCCGUGGGAUUGAGAGACACAGGGAACUUGUUGAGUGCUUGUUGAUGUCCCCCAUCUUCUCCUUACCCAUUAUUGUUCUAUGCUAGUCCGAGUAUAGCCUCUUGUUUGUCAUAUGAUUGUGCGUGACGUCAUACUCAGACUAGCAUAUGACGAACUAGAUGCACUUAUGCAUUACUCACCCUAUAUCUAGACUAUCAUCCAAAUGUAAUGUAAUAAAACCUUCCAUUGAUAUUUAAAAACUAAAUGCACUUAUGAAUUACUCACCCUAUAGCUAGACUAUCAUUCAAUUUAUUACACCUUAUUACACCAAUAGUCUAAAAGCUCGUAUGCUUUCGCACACUGAAGUAAGUACACCAUACAGGUCUAGUGCGCAGCCAUGUGGAUAACCUGCACAAAAUUAGAAACUUUCAUCAUUUUAGAAACAAUAUAAUCAUGAGAUUACCUAAUUUUCCAACAUAAGAGAGAUGCUCAGGAUCGGAUUUGAGACUUAGGUGCCUAUUCACCCGACCAAAUGAAUUUUUAAACAUAUUUGCAGUACUUGUUGGCGGAGGAAGGUUAAAAGCCACAUAGUUCACCAUAACAGACCCGCGAAAAGGCACAUGAUGAAAACAAAUGAUGGAUCACAGCCUUUGUCCUAGAAACAAAAUUUUUACUACCAUUCCAGUUGUGUUUGGUCGUAUUGUCUUUGGCUAAAAUUAACUCCUCAAGAGAGGUGCCAAAAGAAUAUUUCUAUUCUUAGGGGACUCAUAUGUUCCAAUUGAAUUUCUCCUGAAGGAGCGGUUAUGGUUCACCAUGCCACACAUACAUGGAUAUUUGCCCAAAAACAACCAUGGAUAUGUAGAUUCCAUAUGAAUACAUCUAAUUCUUGAGGCAUGUUAACCUCCACCAGUCUCUGGACCAGAUUUAACCAUCCAUCAGAAGGCAGCGUUCAAUUGGGUUACAUUANNNNNNNNNNNNNNNNNNNNNNNNNNNNNNNNNNNNNNNNNNNNNNNNNNNNNNNNNNNNNNNNNNNNNNNNNNNNNNNNNNNNNNNNNNNNNNNNNNNNNNNNNNNNNNNNNNNNNNNNNNNNNNNNNNNNNNNNNNNNNNNNNNNNNNNNNNNNNNNNNNNNNNNNNNNNNNNNNNNNNNNNNNNNNNNNNNNNNNNNNNNNNNNNNNNNNNNNNNNNNNNNNNNNNNNNNNNNNNNNNNNNNNNNNNNNNNNNNNNNNNNNNNNNNNNNNNNNNNNNNNNNNNNNNNNNNNNNNNNNNNNNNNNNNNNNNNNNNNNNNNNNNNNNNNNNNNNNNCAGCGAAGGGCAUUGCUGACUGAGAAGCGUGUCUCAAAGCCAGGGACGUUCCCAAAAUAUAGUACUGUCACCGCUGACUAGGAAGGUCCUCUACAAAAAAAAUCUGUGUUUGACUCAUGGAAAACACAUCUAGAAAUUGUAGUUUGUAUUUACAUCACAGGUCACAACAACCCUUACCAAACUGCAUCACCAUUUGAUAUGAAAGUAUGUUUCAUGACGAAUCAAAUGGUAAUCAAUUGAUAAUUUUGAUAAUUUAUCUAUAAACUUCAUCAAAAUUCAUGAACUUUCACUGCAAGUUAAUAUGCACUAUACUUUGACAUGGAGGGAGUAGUAAUUAGGCAAGACUGAAAAAUAAAAGACAACACGAUUAAAAUAGUUAACCUGCAUUCUCUCCAGAUUCUUGCAACGAAGCACAACGUGCACAACACAGCAGGAGCAACUGCAUUUCAUCGCCAUCACACACGAUCUCCACAUGUGUCUGCAUGUACUAAUAAAGAUCGGCAGUCCUACACCAAAACCUGAAAGAUCUAAAAUCUUCCUUAGGUUGCCUAGCUAGCUUGGAAGAAGGCACAAGCAUAACCUUAGAACACAACCCACCAAAACAUAGCUUGAACCGCUGCCGACCAUUAGGCGGCCAACAAGCCCAAGCAUCAAAACAGCGAGGAGUCACCAUUGCGAGGAGUCACCAUCGAUGGCUCAGCUGGUGAGCGCCGAGAGCAUGCCGCCACCGCUCUUCGAGGCCAGCACCACCUCCCAGCCAGG
rnacentral:lncRNA from 1 species